CCCAACUUUUCUAUUUUCCGAUCAAAAGCGAAGAAGAAAGGAAUGAAAAAAAAAAAAGAAAUAAAAGUUGCUAACUCAAAACCAAAUCUUGAAAGAUUUUGUUGCAAUCAAUAUAGUAAAUCAAUAUAGAUUUAGAGUAAUAGUAAAUAAUAAGAAUAAGUAAUACAACGAUUUCGAACUCUAUUUAGAAUCAAACCACCGUACGGUAUUUUCUUUAAGUAUCUUGUAGGAUACUGUUGUUCCAGCCACAUUUCUCUUUUCGCUCUACUAGUAAUUUAAUUGGAGCUUGAACCCGAGUUUCGGUGAGGUUGAAUCUACUUUUUUCGUUCUACCUUCCUUAUUUAUUUUAUCUAAUUCUUAUCUAAUUCGAAAAAAAAACUAAAAAAAAAGGGGGGGCGAGAGAGUAGUCACAGAUAUUUGAUUGUAUCUCGAUCUAAUCUUUUUCGCCCCGUCCCGCGGCAAUAACUAGAAUUAAAAAAAGGGAAUGUUAACGCAUCCGGGAAGAAACGAUUGAUCUCUAUUAAUAAACCCGCUAAAGAACCGAACCAGAGAGUACUUAGUACGAAGUAGAAGCCUUGCCAAUAAUUGCAAUUGCACUGAUUUGGUUCUUUAGAGUAGCCAAUAGGUUACAAAGAACAGCAACCAUGUCACUCUUCUUAGACUUUUUAUUGAGGUCCCAAUAGCAGGACAUGUUGACGAAACUUUAUAAAUUAACGAGGUUUCUACCAGAACACCAAACCUCAUUGUUUUAAUACACAUUUAACCUUUAAAUAGUUCUUUAAAAGAGAGACAAGUGGUUUUUGUAAUACUAAAAUAUGCACAUUAACUAUCAACCAGAGAGGACUUUUUCGACUAAAAUAUGCAGAAAAGGGCAAGAAAAAGUUCUCUGAAAGUGUAUUGAGAUUUCAGUUCAUGUGAUUAACAUUAAAUUUAGAAUUGCAAUUUGUACCAACCUAGUAUUCAGGCCAACUCCAGAUCGAACCAAGUUAGCAAGACGUGGAACCAACAGCUCCAAUGAUUUGCCAUCUACAACAUUUAUGCACAAGUCAAGUGUCUCCCACAUUGGAGAUCCUUUUGCAAUUGAAAGUCGCAGAUUUUCUAGCUUCUCUGUUUGAAUUCCAACAUUUGCAGCAUGCAACUAGAAGAAUGAAAAGGGAAUACAAAUAAAUAUUAAAAGAACAUAGUGCAAGGAAUAGUUUGAAAUAAUGAACUUCCUUCAAACCUCAACAUAAUUGAGUCCUUGGUCUUCUAGGCUUGAUAAGCUUUCCAGCAUGCAACAAACUAAAUCAGAUAAAUGUGGGCGAAGUGCAAUUCCUGCACCCUGUAAAUAAAACCCAAUUCACUAAAUGGUAAAUUAAGUAAAAGAAUAAAACAAAGACAUUAAACUUAAAUAAGGUCAAGUAAUGAACAUGGUGCAAAGAGGUGGCAAUCGCCCACAUUAAUUUAAGAGUGGAUACAAAUGUCAAUGGAAGAGGAGGAUGACCAAUGAUGAAAGUUAUAAAGGAGGACAUCACUUAUACUAAAGAUAUGUUCUGUUUUAUUAAGUUAUGAAAAUUGUAUGUCAUAGUGCUGAAAACACUGUUUGAGCCUUUGAGGAUCAUGAUUAACUUUUGCAAGUCGUUCUUUAUUGAUGGGGCAACAGUAAAAACAACCAUCAAUCCUCAUCUACUUUCCUGAGGGACAAAUUUUGGUGUGUCAAAAUAAAUUUUUUUUUUAAAACUAAGGCAGAUUAAGCACUCACAGAAUUAGUAAAGCCAGUUCGCAGCAAAACUAAAAACUGGGAGACAAAAUGACAAAAUUAUGACUUGAUCUGUGCUGUACUCAUCAAGGCAAAAUAAUCUCAAAAUAUUGCAAACCUUGGCAAGCUUCAUAACAACUCCAAUUGAUGCCUUCCGUAUACUGUCAACUUUACUCAAUAUGCCUUCUGCAAGCAGAAAGGGAAGAACAAUAUCCAUCGAUUGGCUUGCAUCUGGUGCUUCAGUAAGAGAUACAUCACAGAGCCUUAUUGUUAGUGAAGUUAUAGCACGACAUAGUUUGUCACCAGCAGUCCGCACUGUCUCCUUGAUGUCAUCCAUGGCACGAAACGCAACAAGCCAGAUUUUCUUCAAAUGCUUCCCAACCUACUCACAAAUAUGUUGAUGGAUUUUACAGGACUGAAAUUGUUAGCCAUCAAAACAUAACAGAAUACCAUAAAAAUAGACUGGGAAAUCUCAAUAUUGCAUCAAAGUUGCAUCAUGCUGAAAAUGCAUAAGAAAUAUAUCUUUCACUUCGAAUAGUAUCAUUGGGGCUAAUGUGGUAGGAAUAUGAAGCUUCAGAGGUAUUGAAAGCAAUUGUACCAUGCUAAUAAACAAUAUAUGCAAAAUUAGGAAAUACCACACAGCUUGGAUUUUUUGAGAACCAAGCAGUAAAAAUAUAACCGAUGCUAAGAAAAUAUUACAGGGAAUUCCAGGUUACUAAAUCGAUGAUUAUGACAUGUCAUUUGUUAACUAGGAUUCAUUUAGACAAAAAAUCUUUAACAACUCAUGAGCACCUACAGAGUUUAGACAGUAGAUUGUAAAUAAUUUAUUAAGUUCUAAAUAUCCUUCAUUUCCCUCUCUCCCUCUAAGUAAUCAAUUCAGUUGAUGAUAACACUAAAGACUUUAUACCAAAAAUUUACACAGUCCACAGAAAUGUUUGCAAUAAUAUUUAUGAUUAAGUAUUUGAUUUAAAUAUGAUAACAAACUUACGCAAAACAAGUACAAGACCAGAAAAGGAACGAGAUGCUAAUAAAAUCUUAUGCUUUAAUUUAUAUGCCAAGGUCAAACAAUUUUGGAACACUUCAAUUUUUAAACUAGUGUGAGAAUUAGGUCAAAGGAUUCUACCGGUUAAGAUACAAAUCACUUGUGAAGGCAAUAUAAACUAACAGCAAGCUCAUCACCUGAUCAAAUUUUCGACCUUGGAUAAUAUCUGCAAGGGCAAGACAAGCUGCCUCACGAGAACGCCAAAGCCUAGAUCCACAUUGUACUAGAAGAUCAUCGAAGAUAUAGUCCAGGUUUUCAUCAAUGGUCCUCUUGGGGUCAGCCACUAGUGAUUUCCAUAUAUGUGCCAUAGCAUCCUGCAAAUGUCACAAUUACUCAGUAGUACUGAACAAAGAAUGUAAGAAAAUUUGGCAGUCAGUAAAAGCAGGUAAUUCCAAGAAUUCGCCAAAUUUGAAGGAAAACAUUUAUACAGCAUUGGUGUUAGCUAAACAACUUCAGUUAAGAAUAACGGCAAGCUGAAGCAAUGAAGAACUGUUCUUGUAUCAAGGACUCUUACCUGCACAUUUUUAUCAGGAUCAUAUUGGUAGCGAACGAGCCUUGGAAUCAAUAAUCUUAAGUGUGGUUGAAGAGCAUCACCUGCUUGCUUGGCUAUCUUAGAAAAUCCAAAAGCAGCACCUCUCUUGGAAUUUAGUGAGGCUUGAUAAUUAGCCAAAUCCAUAAAUUUAUAAAUUAAAUCUGGUUGUCCCAUCUCAUUUGCGAGAUUGCAGAGCUCCUUGUAAGUGCUCAGUUUCCCCCCACUAAGACUUUCACCAAUAGUCCCUUCUUGAAAUACUUCCGAGUCUUCUACCAACUGAAAAGGAAUUUACACCCAUAAACAAGGAGCAUAAAUCAAAAAUAAAAAUCCAGGGAAAGAAGAAUAAAGAAUAAAAUUAAGGAUUUAACAAAAGCUUUUCUAAUCGGUUUCUAUCUAAUUUAGGUAAUGAUGUUUGCUAAACACUGAUUUUUAAUCUUAUCUAUGGUUUCUAAGCUUUAGGCUGAGUGGACAGAUUAGCACAAUAAGAUGCAAUUAGUAGCUUAUGAUCUCUGGCGCCAAUGUUAAAUAGUUUGAUUACAAAUUCGAUAACUCGUCCCCUAAACUACAAAACCCUAGCAUUUAUAUGACGAUAGUGCUGACACUAAAAUCAUGCAUCAGUAUAGCCUUCUUUCUAAGCCAAAAUAUGACAUCGUAACUUUACCUUGAUCGCUCUUUUCCUCUUUCCUGAACCAGUCAAAGUGGUGACAAGUGCGUCAACCAGGUUUUUCUUCAUUGAUGUGUCACCAAGGUCAUAAACAAUGCUCAUGCCUUGGGAUGCAAGCUCCUGCGUAAGCUCAUUCUGCUCACCUAGUAGGAACGAAAACGCCUCCUGCAUUCAAUUGAAAACUUUUCAAAGCAAUACCCAAAACUAAUUGUGAAAUGUUAAGCAUCCAACCUAAAACCAGCUAGCAAUAGGUGGAGGGACCUAACUUGAAUAUAAGAACACAGGAAACCUAUGACUGACACCAGUUAGUACUCCCCCUCACAUCAGAUGUAGCUCAACAAGGGCUUACACAUGGACAACCUUACACAGGAUUAGGCAAGAAAAGAAACACGACAAAACCUGAACCCUGAUACCGUGUUAAGCAUCCAACCCAUUAUUAAUUGAAACUAGGCAGAUGCUUAACAUGAAGACACUAGACUAGAAUAACCAGUCAGGAAGGGGGGCAAUUCAAUUAAUAAAGAGGAACCUCCACAAAAUACAAGCCUGCAUGAAAUAUCCGAUAUGAUAGACAGAUUCUUUCCUGACUAUGGUCUCUAAAUGAACGAAAUUUUAACACUAAUAAAUUGGCACAUGAAAAAGUCAACCCAAGGAAGGAACAAUCCUACUUUCUAGUGAUGAUAUAUUCACCUCUGAUCAUAUGUCUUUUACCAGGAGAUAACAAUGAUCAUUUUAAGAAGUAGACAGCAAAAAAAGAUAGGCAGUGGAUUUGGUUAGCUUAUAGGCAGUGGAUUUGGUUAGCUUGAAAACCACAGCAAGACUAUGCCUUUGACUCAAUUUCUAUGCUAGACUUUAGCUAGCAUGUUUGCCUUCACAUAUUCAUCCUUAACAAAUAUAGAUCAAUUUAUUCAUCAUUUUGAGAUGCAACUUGAGAUCAAAGAAGCCAGACAGUUACUCAUUUUGCUUGAAAGCUUGACAUAAUAUUCACUAGCAAAAAUCAUCUUAAAGCAUGUAAUUUCAUUGGGAUUGUAUGUGUAAGAAUAAAGCUGACGUAGUAGACCGUCCUUUUUGUUUUUGCUCGGCAGGUAGGUAGCUGAAUCUUUCUUUUGGAUUGGUCAAGUAAUGCCAGAUACAGUAGCCAUUUUGUCCUAUGUUUGAAAUAAGUGGUGGAAAGAAAACAUAUGAAAAUUGAAGUAUUAUUAUGUUCGAUGUGGUGUUCAUGGAGAGAAGUACUCAAACCUAUGAAUAGAUAGAGGUUGACAUAUAAAGGACAACACUGUUGUUUUCAAAAGUCUCAUGUCUCAUUUCCUUCAUAUUGCUAUAUUCAAGAGGUAGACGGUUUCAGCUAGUGCAAAUCUCUAGAAUUUUUCUAACCUGCUUGAGUUGCUCUGCAUUCUUUGUACUUGAAACAAAACUUUGCUUAUAAUAGAAAAAGAAAAGGAAAAAUCAUAAAACUAUUAAUCAAAGUAGUAUUCCAGGUACAUAACUCCCACUGAAUCCAGCUCUCUGGGAAAGAUAGAAAAAAUAUUAAGAGGGUUCAUGCACAGAAAAGAAAGCAUGAUUAGUAGUUUUCAGAGUUGUCGAUGUGACUUUGUGGCUACCAUGAAGAGUUUCCUCAUGGCUAGAAUUAAAUAGUUCCUCACACAUCAUGAAUCUAGGGUAACCAGAAAGAGGAAAAUUGUAUUAAGUUAUAACAAAAUAAUAACAAUGCAAUCUCUAAAAUCAAAACACAUCGUUCCUGAAGUGUCAAUCAGGUUGCUAUUAGAAACCAAAAAGUGUUUCUUCUAUUUUCCCUUUCUAGUAAAUAAUAUUAAAUACAGAAGAUGGUGAUUUCUGAAGUUGUGGCUAACCUGAAUUUCUGGAAGCAUUUGUUGGAUGGUAGGAUGAUCACCACAAUACAUUGUCAGUGAUAGAAGCCAGACAGUUCCAGCACAACGCUCUUCUUUUCUACUACUAUACAAAAGAGCAUCAAAUAAUUUUUUACUGAUAGUAUCUCUAACCACCAUAUGGCAAUCUUCACUGACCACAUUUUUCUCAUCAGAACUAUAUUUGGACAAAGAUAACUUCAUAUCACCCAUAAGAAAAUUUGAAGUCAUGGAAAGUGAAGUAUAGUUGGUCUUGAGAAUCACAUCAGCAGUUACAGGAACACCACCCCAGAUAAAUGAUAGAGCUUCUCCAGCAGCAAAUAAAAUAUCCUCAACCUACACAAAUAAUAAUUAUAAAAAAUCACUAAACUGAGUGCGUUUCCUAAUUACAUGCACAACUAAAACCAGAUAUAACUCUCCCAAAGAUUUGUUUUAACGAUACAAGCAAUCUGCUAAAAGAAACUACUUGUAUAUUGUAACAAAUCUACUAGCAUUCUAUACCAACCUUUGAUCGGCAAAGACUAAAAAUCAAAUCAAGCGCAAUUUUCAUGUCAGAAGCAGAAGUUUCUUUCACACACAUAUGCCCGAUAGAGAUAACAAUUUUCUGCACCGCCUUAUUGUCGUCCCCAGAGAGUAGCUUGCUCAACUUUUCAUUCAAAAGCUCCAGAAUGCUAACUGCAGUUUCAAUUUUAUUAGCAAGGUCAUAGAGCAUUUUGAACAAACAUAGCAGUAUAAAAUCAGUAUAGGUUAACUUCACCUGAACUAGAAUCACAGACAAGUGAAGGUAAUGAUCCAGAGAGCCCAAUGUGACCCAGUGCUUGCAUAGAAAUUGAGGCCAAUGUUGCACUCUCAGAAUUAACAACGUCAACAAGGCAUUUAAGUGUAUUUUGCAAUAGUUCCUCUUGGAUCUGUUCAAUGAUGAAUGUCAAAUAUGCAUGAAUCUCAAAAAGUGACCGAACUAAAAUAAUUUAAUGUAAUAAAUUGAACACACAAUUUUGGAAGAAAAGCAAAAAUUUUGAAAGCAGCAGCAUUAAAAAGAAAUAUUUGGAAAAAGAAAACAAAUAUUUGGUUCCCCAUCAAGAUAAGAUUAUGCUCCUUUUGCCUCUACAUAGUUAUACUGAUUUAACAAACUGCAUUAUUUGCCAGGUUAUUAACCUUUAGACAAACUUUGAUUAAGGAAACAGGAUAAAUGAAAUUACAAGAGAUUCAAGCCUAAAAACUUCAAAUAGCGAUUUGGCUCCAAACCUCAAAAUAACCACGCUAAAACAAGAAUUACAAGGAAUGCAUGCAACAGCCACCUCAGAGACCAUGCAUAUAAUUUUCCGGGUCAGCACUUCACACUAUAGUGUAGCUCAUAGCACCAAUGAAUUGGUGAAGAACUUGCAUGAACAUUAUGAGUAUGCUGCCUAAUUUUAAAAAAAAAUCCAAAAGUCAUAAGUCUAUUUUUAUAUUAUAAAACUUACAGAAGGUGAUCUGGAAACACAAUCAGCAGUGACAAAUCCUGUAGCACAUAGUGCUCCAUGUUGCACUUCAAACCUGAAGAAUAUUUAAUUCAGUUGUAAAAUAAAAGAAAACAUCAAAACACAAGUAAUUAUUCCAGAUAUCUGACUUAUCAUACACAGUAUACCCACAAACCUUUUGUUUGUUCCACUGAACAAGGAGACCAGUUCACGUAUAAGGUCAGAUGAUGCAGUAACCGGAAGAGAAGAGGAAGCAAUUCCAAGCAAACGUGCCACAGAUUCACGGGUAUCCAUGUCCACAUGACUUAAUAAGUGCUUUAACCAUGAUAUUCUUGAAGCAAAGUGUGAUGAUACCAUCUUAAAAACAAUAAUAUUAAUGAUAAAAGAGAAUGUCAGCAAAGAAUAUAAAAUCUAACAGCAAGAUAGAAACAAAACAAGACCAGCAACCAAGCCUGGAAAGAUGCAGCAGUAACAGCAGUACACCAAAGUACAGAAAACAUGCAGCACUAACCUCUGGAAGAUAAGAUCCGAUUGUUACCAAUGCCUUGGAAGUAGUAGAAUGUAACUCGACAGAGCCUUCAAAUGCCAUAGCAUGCUCUAGUAGCAAGCACAUUCUUUCCACUGAAGACAGAAAUUCAGAUGAUCUUCCUAAGGAGCUGUUUUGCACCAACUCAGACUCAAAGCACUUCAACAAAAAUUUAAUCAUUGCCACAUACAUUUUUGAUGGAAAAAGAAGCUUUUGUUCCCUCAUUUCAUAUGAAUCUAACAACUUUGUCUGCUGCUUAAGAAUAUAGUCAAGCAUCUCUCCAAGCUUGGGAUAUCUAUGAUCCAAAUUUUGACUGAUUAUUUGCCCUGCAUCCUUACCAAGAAAUAACCCUUCAAGUGCAAUUUCCCUGUUUAAAAGAAAAAGGGGGGGGGAUGGGAGGGGGGUUUAUAAGUACCAACGUCAGUUCAAUCACUUUAAGAAUGAAAAUGUAAAUCGAGAGUAAAGAAGACAAGCUCAAAACAAUGAGAAAGAUUAAGAUUUGAGCAUAAUACUACAGCACCUCAAUAAUGUCUAAAAGUCACAUCUCCCUUUUGUAUAGAUUAGGAGCAAUUGAAGUACCUAUAUGUCCUUUCCAUUAAGGCUUAGGAGCAAUUUUAUGAAAAUAAUGCAUUGAGAACACUUUUAAUUGCAAUAUUAUUUAAAUAAUUCAUUGGCUACAAAAUCACAUGAUAUAAGUGGCCAUUCCAGUUUCCAAAACAUUUUAAGUAUUGCCAAAAUUCACUAAACCAUCAAGUUGCAUACAAGUCAAUGCAGAUUUUUCCUUUUUUUUUCUUUAACAAACGUAUAAGAUGAAGUGCAUGUAAGAUUCUGAUUAUUAUAAAAACCAAAAGUUUUCAAUUUAUUGAAGAGUGCAGCCUGUAGCAACAAUACCUGCAUUAGUACAUAAAGCUCCUAUUUCUUCAUAACCAAUUGGUUCAACACCCGAGUUAGUACAGAUGCUAUCAUACAACAACAUCAUGCACCUAUCAAGUUAUUUUUUUCUGCUUUCACAAACAAGCAAACAUUUUUCUCAUAUUUUCAAUCAUAUUCUCUCUUAUUUAGUAGAAUGACGCAUCUUAACACUGCAAAUAGAUAUCCUUUCGCAUCAUUAGUACCAAAAUCCCAAGAACUUAACUGAUUACUUAUUAUAUUUCCACCGGGAAACCUAAAAUCUUGUUUUCUUUCCUUUCUUACUCUUAUUCGUUUCUUCCCAUUCAUUCGUUAUCUGUAUCACUAAUUUUAGAUUUCUUGAUAUUUAAAUCAUUACCUCCCCACUUAAUGCACAUUAUAAAAUUUUAGUUCUGUCCCCUAAGACAUCAUCUCAGGUACCUAGAUAUGGUAACCUCUUCCUGCUAUUCCCUAGCUUUCCCCAUUAUAAUCUCAUAGUCUGCUUGCACAGUAUCUCAUUCCAAUCAAACCACACAAAACAGUUAAAACACCAUAAGCAACAACAAUGGUAAUUGCACAUUCAUCACGGACAACAGAAUGGGCAGGACCACUGCUAGAAGGCACUAUUAGAAUUACAAAGUAAUUGAAGUAUGUGAUGGUGUAAUAGCAUAGAUUGGCCGCUGAAUGAUAAAUAGAUGGUGGAAAUACCCAAGGAAGCUAAAUUCUAUAAAAAUAAGCAACAAUGAACAAGUACAAAGAGUCCACGUAUCCCAUUGCACACAGAAUACAGAUGCAAAAGCCAAAAGGAGUUCUUUAUUCCACUAUAAGCAUAAAGACAAUGUCAGCUACCUUAUAUCCAACCUAGAGUCAGCUGCUCCAAGCAUACAGAUAAAUCGACUGGGACAAUGUUGUGAAUCAAACACAGAUGUUGCCCACCUUAAAGCACAAAAUCGGACUUCACUUUCUUCCUGUUAGUCAAAAUAAAGUUUAGAUGCCCUCAGUUGGGCGAAUUAAAGCCAAACCAGCAUCAUGGACCAAAAAAUUCGAAUUUUCAAGUUGAAUAGAGAUAAGUCAACAAACAGGAAUUAGAGUUGUAGAAGACUAGUACCACUUGACAAUUAUUCAGCAACAGUGACUCCAAUUCUGUUAGGACAGCAGCUGAAGCUCCCUGAUGCUCAUAAAAACAGUACAAAGUCCCCAGCUCAAUAUCAAAGGUUGGAAGGAUUGGACAUCUACAAAUAUUAAAGCUUGAAAGCCUUGCAUAUUGACUCGACAGUCCAAAAGCAUUAUUUUGUACAAGAAAUUAUUUAUAGGAAAUUGCAUUGUGUCAAGCAAACUAUCAAUUUAGCAUCAUAGAUCAUAACAUCUUAUAAAAGGAGGUCCACAAAUACAUACUGCAUAAAAAAGAGUCUCUUGGUCAUCAAAGACAGAUCAAUGAAGAGAUUAUAGUGGUUAUAUACACAUAAGAGACCAUUUCUAAAAAGUAUUCAGGGGACUAUUUAAACUUUGAUACAAUAUAUCUUUCUCUAAGAAGAAGACAACAGAAAUGAAAGUCAAAUAGGAUUCCAUACCCAGUGUAGUUCUUAAGCAAAUAAAUUAAACCUCUCCGUGGGGGAAAAAGCAGAUUUAUUUAUCAUUUUUGAAUAAAAGAAGCCAAUUUUAAAUUAGAAUAGUUUGCUGCUUAAUUAUAGUUGAGCAUGGAACUGAACAUAACUAUAGCAAAAUAAUAAUAUAUCCACUCUAUUUAUAGAAAGAGUAGAACUUCUCCCUCAUAUAUGGACUUUCUCCUGACACGUCCAAACAUAAAAGGAAAUAAUUCACUAUGGAGUCAGAGAAAAUAAGAAGUGUUAUACAUAUAGCAAAAAUACAAAGGCAUGUAUGCUUUUGGAAAUUGUAGGGAAACAUUACACAUAUGCCCAGGGUUAUUUUUGCAAUUAACCAACGGAUAUUCCAUCCUCCAGUGUGAUUAGCUUUAUAGCUCUCUAUAACUAUGCAAUUAAACCAAAUGGCUUUCAACAAAUAACUAGAGAAUAUGACUGAAGUUUGUAUACCAUGUAGGCAGCAGCAAGCGAAUUUGUUGCUUCUUGGAUGAUAAAACGAAGAGAUUGGGACUCUACUUUCAAUGCAUGAAAUAGACGAGUAGCCAUUUCAAUUUUGUCCCUGAAAUGAGAGCAAAAAGCACUCAGCGCAUGAGAAUGGAACCACCAGUUAUGAGACUAGACAGAUAGAAGACCUGAAAAGUUGUGGCAGACGCUGAGCAAGCAGGCCUAUUGCUUGAAAAGAGAAGGUUCUGGUGCUUCUUGCAACUGAAUCUGGGUGAAUGAAAUAUAUUAAAGUAAAUUUAGAGUAUUCUAUAGCUCAUAAUCGAAAUAGUUAUGUCAAAAUGAAGUUCAGGAAACUAUUCAAACAGAUAACCUGAUUCUGAAUUUGAGUAACCAUCAAGCAACUUCACAAUCCCAUUCAGAAUGAGAGGGCCCAUAAGUUUCAGUUGAUCAAGUUUUGACUACAUAAACGGAAAAGAAAAUGACAAAAGGAAACAAUAUAAAUGAAAAUAAAGCUUUUCUUAGGGAAAAGAAAAAACCAAACAUAGAGUGAGAAUGAUAAUUGAGGCAAAUAUAUAUAGAAAAAGACUGACAAUAUUUAAGAAGCUACUAAGCAACUUUUUAUUUUCUCUCUAGCAGAUUUUCCUAGCAAUCACAGCAGGCCUUUGCCACAAAACAAGUAGGGACAGCCCUGUCACCAGAUAAAAGAAAAUUGUUCAACCCAACUCAGGGUGGACUAGCUAGAGAUAAACCAGACAAAACCUAUUGUAUCUAGAAACUUGUUCUUUUAACAUGUUCUGGAUUCCUCUUGGUAAUACAUAUGCAUUUUGCAUACAGGAACUACAAGAUUCCUCCCGCACCCCCUCACCCACCCAGUAUCUAUGCCUAGAACCUUUGCCAAUAUAAUACUAAAUGAAUCAAACAAAGUUUCUCAGGAGCUAAGUUGCUACUUUAAAAAGUGACCUGUAGUGAAAAGAAAACCAGAAUCCAGUUAUUUUGAUUGCUAUUCAGGAUUUCAGCAAGUUUUCUCUUAGACUCUUACUUGCAUUAUGAAUUUUUCCUGUUAAUGUUAACCAUAUCAACUUGAAGCCUAAAACUAAGCCUUAAAAGACAAGCCCAACAUGAAACUCCCUUUCACAGAUUCUGAAUUUCUUUUCCAUGAUCAUACCCUUUCAUUACCUCACAGAGUGCACAAAUUAAAAAGUUCUUAAUAAUUGAAAAUUAAAAAGAAAUCAAAUAAAAAGGUGCUCACAUGUUUGAAGACCCAGACAGUAAAUUCCAUUCCCAAUUGCUUCAGCCUUGAAGUAGUAGUACUUCCUAUAAGAUUAAAAUUUUUCAAAAUGCAAAAGAAAAAAAAAAUCAGCAUAUGGAAUAUAAAUCCACCAGCUCAACAUGCAGUAGGUGAAUAAUAAGUAUCGAGAGAACUCAUUUGCAAUGAGAAGCAAAAGACAACUAGCAAAUAUAAUUUUACCACAGAAAACCCAUUACUUUUGUCUAUGAAAGUGUGCUCCACAUACGAUCUCCAAAUUUGGUUACAAUAAUUUUCAGAAUCUACCAUUUAGGAAAAAAAAAACAUAACUCAUGCAAUUAGGUUAAUUUUAUCAUGUCAAUGGACCUUAUUUGAAGUUCAAGUGAACUAGGAUGACUACUAUUGUGAACUACAUAAACAGACAUGUGACAAAUUUUUUUUAAAACUUUUUUAGGAUGUUCAGUUAAAUUUUAUGUUAGUCUGGACCUUUGAAGUGUUACAAUGGUUCUCAAACAAGACCUUAUACUUUAAGGAUUUCUGUCCAUUUCUUAUUUGUCUCUAUAGCCUUUAUCAUAGUAUCCCCACAGUAUUAGCAGAAAUCUCUAAGAUGCUGCUAUUCAAAUGUAGGCUUUGUUGUUUAAAAUUCAAAUUCAAGUGGCAUGCAAAAUCCAGAAACUUCCCAUAACUUCCUGCCCUAAAGUAAUUUAGUGGCUAAAAGUAUAAACCUACUUUGAUAUGAUUGCAGACUAUCUCGAGCUAGAUUUCAAUUCUAAUCAAAUAUUGGUGGUACUUUAUUGCUUGCAAACCUCAAAACUGAAGGAAACAAAUGCUAAUCUGGUUCAUUUAGGCACAAGUGAAUCAGGAAUAACAUUUAGACAUGCAAUAAACAAUGUGCUUAAGGUCCCAAUUCUCCAAUAUAUAGAACUUAUCAGGUUUUCUUGGUUAUAUGGAAUUCAUUUCAGUAUUAGGACCAUCAAGGUGAAAGAAUACUCUUAUGUAUUUUAUUGCAUUGAUAAGGUGAUGAUAAAAACUUGUCCAGCACCAGUCUAUAUCACGUUAAGAGGAAGUCUGAUCCAAGUAACAAUACAAAUGGCACAAUCAUUGAUCCACUGACAAGAUUAAAUUUCCUGAAAAGUUAAAAUGGACAUUUAUGGCAGCAAACUAUCAGUACUAGUUUGCAAUUUUAUAACUUAUUAUUUGAUAGACUGAAGAGAAUUGCUAACAGGUUUAGACUAUGAAGAGGUCGCCUGAGGAAGCAAGAUUUCACUAUUAUUACUACUAAGUUUACAGCCUAAGAACUAUAUCCUUUAGCAGCCCUUUUUUAGCUUGCUAUUUUAGUUCUUUUCUUGUUCUAUGAUGGACAGCUUCAUGGUUAGGAUAGAUAAGGCUUUGGGUUUAAUCUUCUCAGAAUAGAGCUUGCUCUUAUUAACCCAAACUUUCAUCUAGUAUGCAAAGUAACUUCCUACUUGUUCCCUUCAAAAAGCUGGAAUAUUAUUUUUCAGUCAUAGCAUGUUAUAAUUCAUUUUAACUUUUUGCUAUUCGCGUCACAGGAUAAAAACAAUAUGCCAUGUACCAUAUAUGCAGUCAAAAAUGCACUGCAAGGUUGAUGGGAAACUAUUUGCUGCUGUGAUGGACCGACAAAAUACGGCCAUCAGUUUCACUUUCAAGGUAGCAUUUCCAGGAUUGACUCUUGAAUCCGUGGCAGUAUUUUCUGCACCUGUAGUGCCUUGAAAAAUAGUAAAUAAGUUGUGUUACCAAAAUAUCCCACAAGCAUAAAAAAAAUAAUAAAUAAAUAAAAGAAAGAAAGAUAAUGACUGUAACCUAAGAAGCAAUAAUUACUAACCAAAAUUUCCCUUAGAUUCAGCAAUGAAAGCAUAAAUGCUCAAAAAUUGAUUAAAUAAGUUCUUUCAGAAGAGAAUGAUUGUAACCAAAAACUCAAUAAAUACUAAAAAAUUACUUCAAAUCUUAGCAAAUCAAAUAAUAAUUUGCUCUUCAAUCUUUAUGCUGGCAGACUCAAAGUUCGGGCUGACAAACUUCAGAUUCAUAGAAGAAAUGCUAAUAACAGAUUAUAUUCAGAUUGACACGUUCUAACAGAUUGGCAUCUCCCAUCAAAUCUUUAUAAAAAAAAUCAAUAUUUCAAACAAUGUAUUUCAGCACAUCAACAUCUCUCAGCAUAUAAUUUGAACCUUUAUUUAUUGAAGCACAUAAUACAAGUGAAGUAGCAUUCUUACACAUAUAUCAUGAAAAAGUCGACCACAGCUUUUUUUGAAAGAACACAUUUGAAUAUUUAAAAAGUGGACCAACUAUUUGAAACAACCACCUAAAAGAAACUUCCAAAUGUUCUUACAGUAAUGGAGUUGUCAUUCAUGAUUACAACAAACUAUGGCACUACGAAAUUGAACGAGUAUCACGUUUCAAUGCAAUAUUAAGUGAGGAAUACAGCAAAAAGGCUACUGUGUAGAAGCUGGGUUCUGCAAAAUCUAUGGAAGCAGUGCAUACUGCUGUAAAAGUUGCCUUGUAAAGUUAGGAAGACAUUUGUUAAGAAUUAAAGAGGUUUCUCAUCAGAUAAUUCCUAAUUUUGGGAAUAUAGACGAGAUUUACUAUGAUGAAAGAGUUUUGGCUGAAGUUGAAAUAAUCUGACACAGAAAAGUUCAAACUGUUAACAAGGUGCUAAUGUUUAAACCGGGUUCCAAUCAUUUUUGGAUAUUUCUGUCAUUAUGAGUUCUGAGAUCUCAACCAUUGAUUUUCCUAGCACAUUAAAAACUGCGAAUGUAUCAAAAGUCAAAACAGCCAAACAAUCAUGACAUAACUGAGUCAUCAGCAAUAAGGUUACUGCUUUAAUAUGGAAAACAAUCAAACAGAUUUCAACCUCUAUAAACCGAGUUAAAGCAAAAGCUUUAUCACGACAUAACUGAGCCAUCAGAAAAAAGGCAGCCAUUCUUUUAUUUUCUCACAAUAGAGCUCAAAACCCAGAAAAUGGAAUACAUAUGAAACAAAGACAGCCAGUAUGAUGACACAAAAUAUUUAAGCCAACAAAUUUAGCAAAGAUUUUAUUUGAUCAGAGAGAAAAAGAAUCACUUCAUACCAGUAAAAAGUAGAAACAAUCUGCUAAUCAACCUCAGAUCAUCUAAAUUAGCACCAGAAGCCUUUCUUUUUAUGAGCUCCUCUCCUCUCUUGACAACAGGCUCUUGACUUAACAAACCAACCAAAAAUAAAUCAUUGUAGUAAGGGAAAGAAGUAAAUUUAAAUUUGGAUAAUGUCAGGAAUAGUGCAUAUACCAUGCACUUCGUUCAAAGUGGUACCUUUAUGCUUUACUUUUAAAAUGUCCAAUAUGGCACUAGUAUUAUCAAAUAGUGUGCUAAUGUGAUAAAUGGGCUUAACAUCAUCGACCAGAGAGGGAAACAUGAGAUGAAGGGGGGAAGGGGAAAAGUGAGCUCCCAGCAGUGUAGUCAGUCAGGGUCGAACUGCCUCAGACUGGCCGACAAGCACUGCCUAACAACACUCCCCCCCCCCCUUUUUUUUUCUCUGCUUCCUUUGGCCCUUUCCCUCCCUUCCAUCUUUCCCCCUUUCUCUCCCAAUUCUCUUCUCUUUCCUUUUUAAACUUUUUCCAUUCCAUUUUAAUUUUUUUAAAACAAAUCCAUAUUAAAGUUCAAAUUUUUAUGUUCUUCAAAAAUUUUAUUUAAGAAGGGUCUAGAUUUUAAUUUUUCUGAUAUUUCUAAUUUUCGAGUUUGUAUUUUUGUUUUUAAGAAAAAUAUUUGGGGGGGGGGGGGAAUCAGUUCUUAUAAGGAAAAUUAAGUUUUAAAAGUAAAAUAUAGAUUAUGAUACGGACCCAAAUUACACGUCAUCUGAAUGCCAGGUGUCAUCUUUUGACUGGAAAACAGCCAUAUCAAACAUGUCAUUAACAGUAUUAACCUCAGAUACUAGAUUCACACAGAAUGAUAGUACCUUCAACAUUGUUUUAAAAAACAGAUACCACAAUGAAAAAAAGUGAUACAAAAGGCUAUUCAUGACAUUAUACGUACAAGUUUAAUUUAAACAGGCAACUUGAAUUGUAUACCUAUCUGCACUAGCAGCCAAAUAUACAGGAUAAACAAGUUCAGGAGACAGCUCCAUAGCUUCAACAAGAUUCAAGAUCCCCAACUGUUUUUAGAGAACCAAACAAACUUAUACGAAUUAUAUCAUAUUCUCAGGUCACUUUAGGUCACGUGACCUAUAGGAAAAAUGUAAUCAGUGAACUUACGAAUACAUGUGUUUUCACAACUAACUUAUAAUAGAGGCCAUAUAUCAGUGUCAAGAAACAAGAAAUUUUCAACUCACCUUUCUUGUUAAAAGCAUAUCACCUUUCAAUGGAACCUUCCCUGCAAUACGGUUAGCUUGAGCAAUGGAGAGCCCCGGUGAGCUCCCUCCUCUACAGAAAAAAAUAUAAAAAAAGUUUAGAAACCUUAGAAAUGAAAAUGACAAACAGAUGAUUGUAGUAUCCCAUUGUUAAACAGAGUUCCAAACCCUUGAGCUGGUGGUUGGUACAAAACUGUGUGAAGGCAAAAUUCAAGAAAUAAAUCCCUGUCAUGAGAAUCAUUCAUUAAUUUAUACUUCGCAGCGAUCUCAUUCUCAACACGGCUUGCAUGACAUUCACCAAUUACCUGAAACCAUCAAAAUGCAAAAUGUAUCAGCAUUGUCUCAAAAUAUUUUAUUUUCUUACAAAAUACAGUGUUAAUCUAUAUGGGUAUAAUGUUGUGUGAGCUUUUGCGCGCAUACAUUCCACAACUACUGAGAUUUUGACGUAACGGAUGAUUGGCCAGAAAGAGUGAAUUAUGUGGAUAUGAUUAACUUUUUGGACCUCGACUGCAUCAAUGAAGUUAACUAAUUCCAUUAUACAUUUCCUUCAUUUGAAAUUGCUAACAUUAGCCAUCUUCUUGAUUAGACAUGAUUGAACAUUAGGCUUUACUUGUAUAUUGGAGUAAAAGAUCGGUUCCAACUUCUAAUUUGUUUGCUCAGCCACUCAAAUGUUAACAAAAGAUGCAAGAAGAAGACGGAUCACAAAACGAUUUGCACAUAUACCUUAGUAGCAAUUCUCAUGAGAAUCUCUUGGUGUUGCUGAGGAAGUUUAGAAAUAUUUACCACAAGCAUAGGAGACAAAUUUUCUUUUUCCUGUUUCAAAAGCAAAGAUUGAUAAUGAAUUGCUACAACAAACCAAAAAUAUACUAUUAAUUCCCAAAAAUGAGAUUUUGGACUGGAAACAACAUGGACACACCUUCAAAGGAGCACGUUCAAAUGCCAUUUCAAUAUAAACAAUGCAAAAAUUCUUAACCAUUGGAGUAGCAUCAGCUUCUGUAUACAUUGACCAUAAUUCAGUCAAUGGUAGACCAAUCUCAGGCUGGUGUUUCACUCUCUUGUUGACAUGACUCAAUAUCUCAAGAACCUAAAAUGACAGAGCAAAAGUCAGAGUGAUGCACCUUUUACACAAUGAAUUUGACAAGUUAGGCAGCGGAAUAUGAAACUUGAAAUAUUAGGCAAGGUACAAAAGGCAAACAGUAACAAAGAAUGCACAUCAAACAGUAGAUGGCUGUCAGUUAUAGAUAUAUGUCAAACAUGGGUAUAUUCAUUUUUUUCAGCUCUUUUCAUAUAUUUGGAAGAUCAUACCUGCAUACUUAUGUCUGAAUGUAUGUUCAACACAUUUUAGAUACAAGUACUUUAGAGAUGGGAAUAACCGAAGCACAUAACUCUUUCCAGUGAAAUAUAUACAAUCAAUUGAUACUAAAUCAGGGGGGAAAAAAGGGAGGGGAAGAAGAGAUCAUAACACUUGAUAAAGCACCCUUCAAAUAUGUUUAGGAAGCAUGAUAAGGUUGGUUCUAGUACACAAGCCUUAAUUUGGCACAUGUAGAUUGAUUGGUACAUGAUGGGAAGCAUGAAGCUUUACUGUUGAAGAAAGUAAAUAAUAAUAAUAAUAAAGAAAAGGAGAAAAAUAGAGCCAAUGGGUCUGUCUAGAAGCAAAAUGAGACAAAUGGAACAGUACAAAAUUGCAUAACACUUUCAGUCUCCAAAAUAACAUCCUAGCAUUUGGAGUUUUUGACCGUCUCUAAUUCAAACCAUAGGAUUCGUAGGGUGGAAUUUAUAGAAUAGAAGAGGACCACAUGUGUCUAGCUUAGUAUCAAAAGUACAAAGAGAGAUAAAAACAAAAAUAAACAAGCAAGCCUUUCGAAUAUAUAUCUGCAAGAAUUGUUAGCAAAUGUCUAUAAAAUCAAAUGAACUAAAGUUAUUGAUUUGUUCUUCAUGAAAAAGAGGAACUCAGACAAUUCAAUUCCAAUACUAUUUCUUAAGGGAUCAUUCCGACCUCUUUGAAUCCUAAAUCUCCUAAAUUUAGCAGUGCCCUACACCAUUAUCUACUUUGAUUCCACAAGCCUUGAAGAAGUCUUGGGCAAUGUGUCACCCAAGAUAUUUGGCGGGUUAAUCAUUUUAUUACGACAUUAGACUCACAAAAUAACCAGCAGUGAUCAUAUCUACAUAAUAAAUUUCUCAGAACCACUUUUUGAUGGCAGAGAAGAAGCCAAGCGAGUGUGCUAACAGAAACAUUAAUCGAUCAAGCAAAUGCUUCCCACUGCGCCUUAUAAAUAAAUUAAUGCAACAAAUUAGAAGACUUAGAGUACUUCAAACUGGAUUCAGAUUAAGUACCCACUCAUCCGCAUUGCAUCUGGUUAAACAAGUAUCUUGAACAACAUUAUCUAGGAAUUGAAUCUAGACCUGGCAAAAAUACGCAUACGCAAAAAAAAUGGCAGGCCUAAAUGAAUCAAAAGAAUGUUAUUGCAAAAAAGAAGAAAAAAACAUUAUCCGGCGAAGACAUGUAUCUAAUUAUCAGCUGGACCAGCCACCGAUAUUUAUUAAUCUCUCCCAUGCUUAAUACUGAUCAAUUUCACAACAAAUAACUUAAAUUUUCAUAUACUUCAAGCAUCAAAUUACACAAAACAAAAACUUAAUAAGAACCGUCGACAGCGAAAAACAAAAACGAAAAUUUAAAGAUAAGAAACAGAAAAGAUUAAGAAAGGGAGGAUAAUCGAACCUUGUUGCGGACAAGUUGAGAUGAAGAGGAAAGAGAGGAAAUGGUGAGAGGGAGAAGCUUGGAAAGCAAGGCUUGGAGUUUGGAGUCAUCGCAAAGAGCUAACCUAGUCAACAUUCGAUCCAGCAAUUCUUCGGUCUCCGCAUCCGAUUUUGCUGCUGCCGCUGGCACCGAUGAUGAUUCCGCCAUUUCUUUUUCUUUCACAACAAGAUAGUUACAAAACCCAAAAGGACUCGGAAGAGAAAUAUCACCGAGCCCGCUUUUGCCUCCGCCUUUUAAAUAGCAGGGACCUUUUUCUUCUAAUAGUUUAAAUGAUAUUUUCUUUGUUAAAUGACGGUUAAAUUUUGAUAUACUUCACAAAAGUUUUUUAGUGCGACAAAUAUAUUAACAUAUUAUAUUACAAAUAUUACAAGUGUAUUUAAUUUCUGUACUUUAAUUUGUUUUUUAUUCACUUUAUUUUUCAAAUUUUAAAAUUUUAGUUAUCAUCAAACAAUAAUCAUUAAAUUUAUUAUGUUUUCUUGUUUUCAAAAUUUAGUACAACAAAUAUAUUGACAUAUAGGUAAUUUCAUGUCAACUUAUUAUUUUCACAUAUUACUUCUUAAAAAUCUUGUUAAUUGGUUAACAACUAUCAGUUCUAUCGAGAUUGAAAUUUAAAAGUUCGAAAAUUAUAAAGACUUAUAGUGAUCCAAUUAGAGAAUAUACACUAAAUCUAGAAUUAUACAUAUAUAAAUACUAGUAAUUGAAUUUAACCAAACAGAUUUAAUUGCUAUUAUUUAUAUUAGAAUUAAAAUUUCAAAAUUUGAAAAGUAGAUAAACUAAAAUUUAACAAUUUGAAAGAUAAAUGAACUCAAAUUGAUUAAAUUAUUACAGUAUUUCUGAACAAGUUAUUGGAUAACAAGCUUAGAGAUUUUCUUAUUGAUGAUAUCGGUAUUGAUGCUAGUAACGAUAUUGAUCGUGACCUUGAUACGGAGUUGGGGCUUCUAACUAUGAUGAAUGCAUUAACUGUGGAUAUGAUAUCGGAAAUAUACCGAUUUUACAUCACCCUUCAAUUCGAACUAGCAAAAGCAAUGUCUCCUUGCAUGAUAUGGAUUCCAAACAUUCAUUAUCUGGAUGUGAAUGAGGUAAAUUACUUAUCCUUUAGUCUAUUAGUGAACUAUCUCUCCAAGGAUUGUGAAAUAUGUUCUACUAUAAAUAUUAUUGUUAUUGCUUCGACUCAUAUUCCCCCAAAAGUAGAUCCCACUCUAAUAGCCCUGAAGUACAAAAAUUAAUAGUAGAAUUUAAUUCCGCCUCUAAUUUGAGUAAUUGUUAUUUUAAAUAUCAAUAAAAAAAUUCACAAGCUUAUUUAGUUUAUUAUUUGUGAGAGACUCAAACUUACUCAAGGUCUCAAAUACUUAGGGCAUUCGCCUUAACCAAUAAAUCGAUUUAAUUUUACAUUGUUUUAUUGAGACUAGGGAAGUCAACAUCCCAAUAAUUUUCUUGUUAAAAUGAAAUUUUGAUUCAUAGUAACUCUUGAAUAAUAUUUAAAUGUGGCGGCUUAAUGGUUAAGAGUGUUUAUCGACUCAUGUAUGACUAGAGUUUGAGUCGCACUAGUCGCAUUAAUUAUUCGAACUAAACCCUAAUAUUAUAAUUCACCAAAAAAAUAUACCCUCAUAUUUACAAUAAUUUAAUCACCGAUCAUCAAAAUUAACUAUUUGUAUUUAACUUAUAUGUUUCAACCAAAGAAUUUCCACGUUUUGAGUGCAUUUUGUUUUUGGAAGAGUGGUCCAUUUCUUUGAUAAUAAUUAAUUUUCUUGUGAAUAUAAUCUUUUAUUGGGGAUUAUUUCCUUCAGUCAUGAGAAUAUGAUUCAUGUAAGUAAUGGUAGGAAAGUAGUUUUUUGGUGGUUGAUUUUUUUCGUAUUUUUAUAUAAUAUUAAAAAUUUUAUCAUACAUGUAUAUACGUAAAAAUCAUAUAUUUAGAAUACAAAUGUACAUUAAGAACAUAUAAUAAAAAAUGACACCGUAAAAUUUGAAAUUAAUAAUAAUAAUAAUAAUAAUAGCAACACGUAUGUAAGGUUUAAAAAUAUUUUAAUAAUUUAAUUGAUUAAGUUAGUAUUAAAUUGACUUAUACUAUAAAUUUAGUCACACACUUAAAUAAUAAUAAUAAUAAUAUGAUGCUAACAACGUUGGUAGAAACUAUUGUAUAAUAAUAUCAAAAUGUAAAAAAAAAAAAAUCUAAGUAGAGUAUUGAUUGGAAUGACAAAAUUAAUGUUUUAUGCAUAUUGAUGACAUGUAUUCACUUCAAAUACCAUUAUAUACAAUUAUUUAUUAAUUUUAUUUAAAAUGUAAAAAGAAUAAAAGUACUUUUAUAAGAAUGUAACUUCUUUUAAAUAUAUAAGGUAAUUUAAUAUUUUCUUCAAUAAAGUUGGUGUCUGAUUAACUUAUGACACUAACACAAUUAGAGAUUAAAUAUUAGUAUAACGCCUUGUUUGGUUCGCUAUAAUGGGUAUACCAUUACAGCCCGAUUCGGUGGGCCCCAACUAUUUCGGCGUUUGGUUCGCUGUAAUGCCCAUUACGCGCCUAUUACAUUACGUACGUAUUCCUCCUUAAUCACCGAUUUCUAUUCCCUACCCAAAGUUCAGUUUAGCUUCCGUUUAGCCCUCUCUCAAUUUCUAUGCCCUGAUUUACCCUCAUCUUCCUAAGCCGAAAUCCACCUCCAGAACUCUCCCUCCCAACAUCAAACAGAACCUACCAGCAAAGUGACCUUCACCGCUCUCGUUUCACUUUCAUUUGAUUGUUUUGUCGAACCAAACGCACCCUUCUGUUCUUCAAAUGCAGUGAGUAGGGAAGUCCAAAAACAGACUUCUGUUCUUCAAAUCCCAAGUAUCUCCAAAUAAACCCUCAAGAAAACCUUUCCAAUUCAAUCAAGGUAAACAUUGUCUGCCCUAACAUUUUUCUUUCAACGUGUUUUCCCUUUUAUGUUUUUAAUGUCUAUGAUGAAAGAUUCAACAUUUCUAGAAAUUGAAUCAUGCAUUCACCUUUAAAAUGAGGUUUUAGAAAGUUUCUGAAUCAUGUAACUAUCAUUAAAAAUUGGCAUCUAAGGUUUCUGAAAACUAGGGCUUAAACUAGUUGAAUUGAAUCAUGAAUCCCGAUUUCAACGAUGAAAGAUUGCACUUUUUCGAAGGCAACUCAGAAAAAAAUUAGAAGUUUGAAUCCCAAUAUUCAUAAAAUAAAACUUUAAUUCAUUUGAUAAAGAAUUAGAAGUUGUAAUGGCUGCGAAUGAGUUACAGGGGAGUGCUUCAAGUAUGGUUAAGAGGAAAUCUUCGAAGGGUAAAGGGAAAGCUGUUAUUUUUGGUUCUGAAAAUAGGUUUGAGAUAUUGAAUGAUGAAUGUGAAUUGGAACAGAUUGAUCAAGGUCAACUGGGAGAAGAUUUAGUUAAUCCUUUUUUGGAAUGUAAGGGGUUUUAACAAUUCCCUCAAAUACAUUAGGGUUGUGAAUAGAAUGAAGGAGUUGAGAGUUGAUAUAGUUUGUUUGAUUGAAACUAGAGUAAAGGAAAAUAAUGUGACUGCUAUUGGAAAAGUGGUUUCAGGGUUGGAGGGGCAUUAACAACUACAAUGAUGCUGAGAAUGGAAGAUUAUGGUUUUUAUGGAUGGACUUUUUUGGAGGUUACAGAGUUUGUUAACACAGAUCAGACUAUCACAUGCAUGAUUAAAAGCUCUAAUCAAUUCUGGUAUGUUUCUUAGGUUUGUGGAAGUACUGAUGGUUGUGAAAGGAGGAGGUUAUGGACUCAUUUGGAGACCAAGCACAAUGUUGGUGCUUCUCCUUGGUUAGUAGCUGGGCAUUUCAACGUGAUAAUUGUCAAUCCUCAGGAGAGCUCGGAUUUUUCAGGAGUUUAUAAUUAGAGUACUGACAUUAAAAAGUUAGAAGUUGCUUGGAAGAGCUUGAGUUAGAUGAUUAUAUGUUUAGAAGUUGCUGUUGAUUUUUAUAAAAAGCUUAUUGGCUCUCCUGAUAAGAUUGUUUUUGAUUGUUCGCAUGAUCUUCUAAAAGAAGUAAUGCCUAAACUUUUUCUACUGAUGCUCAAUUUGAUAUGGCAAAGUCUAUUCCUAUAGAAGAGAUUAAGGUAGCUAUUUUUGAGCAAAAUGGUGAAAAGGCUCCUAGUCCGGAUGGGUGCACUGCCCAUUUUUACUAGAAAAGUAUAAAGAACAUUUAUUAGAAAUGAAAAUAAAAAUCUAAAUUCUAAAUAUACAAAAGAAUAAGAAUUAGAAACAUAUUUUAAUUCAUGAAAAACUUUCAAUGGCUGACCCGAAUUUUGGUAACUUGCAAGUAUCAAACAACAAUUUAUUUAAGAUUAAUGCAUAUAAGAAUUUCACUUAGUGCACUAUAAAUGAUGAAAAAAUGGUCAAUUAUUAUAAUUAAAAAAAUAUUAAAUACUGUAAAUAAUAUUCUUUUGUGAUUAACUUGUCAUAAAUUUGAAGUGAGACAAAAUAACUUGUCAUUUAGUGCAGCAAAUGACCAUUGCUUAAAUUAUUAGUUUAGAAAUGCUCUUUUUUGCUUUCUAAUUAUGGGUGGACUAUGUUCUGGUGAAGUUAUGUUCAGUGAAUAUGGUAUGUUCAUCUAUCCAUGUGAAAACAAGAGAAGAAUAAGAAUUUAUCUCGAAAAAGAAAGAAGUUUCUUAACCUUAUCAUUUACAUGCUAGAUUAUUUUGCUGAGACCUGUUCUAUAAUGUGCCUUUAUUCAACUAGCAUAUUUAUACAACUAUUUUGUUAUUUAUCAGGCAAUGGUGGCAAUAAGAAAGAGCCAGGCAAUAAGGGUAAUGAAAAAGAAGACGGUGAGAAUGAUGGCCAAAUGGAGGAUAGCGAUGAAGAUGAUGAAGCGGAUAACGAGGAAGAUAUGGAAGAAAGUGAAGAAGAUUAGUGCUUUAGCAAAGUGGAAGGUGCAAUACAACUUCCAUUUUCUGAUUAAAUGACAUGGCACUUGACAUUAGCCAUGUUCUUUACAUGGGGAAGAUGCUUAUCUGGAGUGAGGAUCUGAUAAGCUUUUAUGCCAGUUAGCCUCUUGUUUUUGCCUUUUUACUUCCCAGCUUUGUUUGUUUCCUCCUGAUUUUUGGCUUAAGUUUGUUGUAGAAGAUCCAUAGAUUUUGAUAUAAGAAAGAAAAGGCCAUAUUUUCAACUUUUUUUCUCAAAAUAUUUGUACUAGUAAAUCAAUUCACGUUCCUUAUGUGGUAAUAAUAUUUUAAUAGCAUGAACAUUGGCAUGGUAUCUCAGCAUGUCAGAGAAACUCCAUGCAAGCAGUAGAAUACACAAUGAGAGGUUAAAAAUAUCUGUAGGCUUAUAUUUGGGAGCAUAACAGAUACAAUAAGGUAAUACAUAUUAAGUUGAUUCUGAACCUAUUCUAUUGAGAAAUUUAAACAACAUAGAUUAUAAAUUAUAUUUAAUAAUAAUUAUUUUAAAUUAUAUUUUAUAGUAUUAUAUAUUAUGAUUUUAGUAAAUUCAUAUAAGAAUAUUUAAUACUAAGAAUUUUAUCAAAUUAUAUAUUUUUAUUAAAUUAUAUUUAAUAAUUAUUAUUUUAAAUUAUAUUUUAUAGUAUUAUAUAUUAUGAUUUUAGUAAAUUCAUAUAUUUUAUUAAAUUAUAUAUUUUUAUUAAAUUAUAUUUAAUAAUAAUUAUGUUAAAAUAUGAUUAAAUUAUUUAUUAUUUAUAUUAAUAAUCUUAUUAAAAUUUAAUAACAAUAACAAUAAUUAUCUACCUAACAAAAAUUCUGCAAAGGGUAUUCUAGUCAUUUUAGUUUUUUUUCUUAUGCUAUUCCACCUCUAUUACAUUCAACCAAAUACAAGAAUACCAUUACGGCUCUAUUCCAUUCCAUUCAACCAAACAAAAGAUUUACCUAUUACGCCUCUAUUCCAUUACGCAUCUAUUUCAUUACACAUCUGUUCCAUUACAGCGAACCAAACGUGCUGUAAGUUUUUACUAUAAAAUCUUAAAAAUUAUUUAACGUUAAAUUUAAUUUUAAAAAUAUCAAAUUUAAAUUUAAAUUACAUUCUAUCUCAAAUACAUACUAAAUAUUUUAAAUUCAAUCAUACAUUAACACGGAGAUUAAUUUAUUUAAAAUAAAUAGAUUAAUUUACAUGUUAAUAUUAAACUAAAUUUUGUUACAUAUCCUUCAAAUAAAUUAUUUUUUUGUGUGUGUAAAUUGUUUUAUAGGAGUAGUUUUGAAUUUUACCAUUAUAUUUCCGAUAAAAUGUACAAUAAACCAAAUUUAUCAAUGUAAUUUUCUUAUAAAUUUUAACUAAUAUUUUAUUAUGCAUAUCAAAUGUUAUAAUGUUACAUUCUUAAUAAUAUUCUCAGGAAUCACAUUAUAUUGAGAUAUUAACAAGAAAACGUACAAAAUAUUACAUAUCUUAUAUGUAAAAUGUAAAUUAUAUCUGACUCAAUCUAAAUUUAAUUAUGACUUAAAUUAUGCCAAGUGUAAGUUUUGUUUAGAAUUAUUUUAAUUUAUAUUGUGUUGGCCUCUUUUUUUUGGGUUACUUCAUGUCCGUUUUACGGUCCAUGUUUAGGGUUCGUGGCUGCCUCUCCCAACAAUGUCGUCUCCAAAGUUAGAACCUAAGUCUUUCCAUCAGGAGUGCAAUGUGUCUUACCAUUGCAUCAAACAAUAAUUAAAUCUAAUUGUUAUUAUAUUAUCAAUAAUAGUCUAUCUAUAUUAAAUUUACCUAGUUUUCUAUCAUCAAAACAAUUUUAUUUACAAGAAAAGAGUUAUUAAAUUUAACGAUUGGGAAUACCACCGAUCGGAUCCGUGGCGCAAUGGUAGCGCGUCUGACUCCAGAUCAGAAGGUUGCGUGUUCGAUUCACGUCGGGUUCAAACUCCUGAAACGGUCGGAUCUAUUUUUUUUCCUCUUCAGAUAUGGCCGAUCUGGGUUAAACUCGACCCGAGUCGUUCCUGAAAGAAUAAGGGAAUCCCUGCCUGCCGUCCGUUGAUUAGAGGUGGGUGAGGAAGUAAAGACUGUGAUUCCUGAUUCACUGUUGAAGAAGAUUAAGGGGAAUGAAGAAUGGGAGCUUGCUAAAAAGCAGGAACGCGAAGCUGCAGAGAGGAAGAAAGUCGAGAACCGCAAGCACAUUUACUGAAGAGCUAUGCAGUGUGCAAAAGAGUGUGAGACUCAGGUAUAUUUAAAGGUGAAAUCUAACGGAUCCGUGGCGCAAUGGUAGCGCGUCUGACUCCAGAUCAGAAGGUUGCGUGUUCGAUUCACGUCGGGUUCAAAAUCCUGAUACAGUCGGUUCUUUUUUUUUUUUGCCUCUUCGUAUAUGGCCGAUCUCGGCUAAACUCGACCCGAGUCGUUCCUGAAAGAAUAAGGGAAUCCCUGCCUGCCGUCCGUUGAUUAGAGGUGGGUGAGGAAGUUAAGACUGUGAUUCCUGAUUCAAAGUUGAAGAAGAAUGAGAGGAAUGAAAAAUGGGAGCUUGCUAAAAAGCAGGAAUUCGAAGCUGCAAAGAGGAAGAAUGUCGAGAACCGCAAGCUCAUUUACUCAAGAACUAUGCAGUAUGCGAAAGAGAGUGAGGGUCAGGUAUAUUUGAAGGUGAAAACUAAUGGAUCCGUGGCGCAAUGGUAGCGCGUCUGACUCCAGAUCAGAAGGUUGCGUGUUCGAUUCACGUCGGGUUCAAAAUCCUGUAGCAGUCGGAUCUAUUUUUUUCCUCUUCGGAUAUGGCCGAUCUGGGUUAAACUCGACCCAAGUCGUUCCUGCAAGAAUAAGGGAAUCCCUGCCUGCCGUCCGUUGAUUAGAGGUGGGUGAGGAAGUUAAGACUGUGAUUCCUGAUUCACUGUUGAAGAAGAAUAAGAGGAAUGAAGAAGGGAGCUUGCUAAAAAGCAGGAACUCGAAGCUGCAAAGAGGAAGAAAGUCGAGAACCGCAAGCUCAUUUACUCAAGAGCUAUGCAGUAUGCAAAAGAGUAUGAGGCUCAGGUAUAUUUGCUGGUCUUCUGGAUUUAUGUUACUUAGUUUUUGACAAAUCUUGAAAGCUUAUCACUUAUGUUGUCUGUGACCGGUGAUGUUAGGAAAAAGAGCCGAUUCAGUUGAAGCGGGAGGCAAAGUUGAAAGGAGGGUUCUAUGUGAAUCCUGAAUCUAAGCUUUUGUUUAUCAUUCGAAUCCGUGGGUAUGCUUGAUUAUUGUGACAUUACAGUGGCGUGUGAAUAUAAAUUCUAAAUGGUAAUAUGGUGUGAACUGUGAAUGAUUGUUUUUCAGUAUCAAUGCCAAGCACCCAAGUACAAGAAAGAUCUUGCAGCUCUUGCGUUUGAGACAGGUAGCUUAUUGCAUCAUUUUUUUUUUCCAAAACUAAGGGUGGGUUUGGAUGGGCGAUUGGAUGCAGUGCGGUGCAUUUAGUUUAAUUUUUAUGUCACGCUACAGUAUCGCUACGGUAUCUAAUCUCACCGCCACCGUUAUUUUUACACUAAACGCAGGUAAACGCAACGCCCAUCCAAACUCACCUAAGUGAAUUAUAGGUUAUGACUUACGAGAAUCCAUUUCCCAUUUCACCUUGCGUUUGACUGUGCUAGUCUUUAAGACUUUCUGUCCAAUUAAAAUUAUUGUUUAAAUUGUUUAUUUAUACUGUGAAGUUGUUGAAACAUCAGAUUGUUUGAUUUCAGUAGUAUGCUCAAAAUUAAAAGUUAAUGUUUUAGCUUCUUAGUGACUACCAUCUUAUUGUUAAAUGUGCAUGUUUUUGUAUGAUGCUGCUUCGACCUGGUAAAACUGGGGUGAAUGGUAGUUGUUGUAUCCAAAACAUUUUUAUAGUUCUUAUAAAUAAACAAAAUCUAAAGCUAAGUUGAUGCGUUUGCAUCUUAUUCAAUGCAGAUUUUCAAUGGCGUUUUCCUUAAAGUGAAUAAGGCAAAAAUGAACGUGCUUCACCUUGUUGAACCUUAUGUGACUUAUUGGUAUCUUUUACCUUUCUGGCUUCCUCGUUUUUUCUUUCACCAGUUCUAUAUAGUUGCCAUGGCUUAUUUCUUCUUAAUGUAUGCAUCUAGAUACCCUAACCCCAAGAUUGUUCGGGAACUGAUUUUCAAAAGAAGUUAUGGGAAGUUGAACAAGCAGAGAGUUGCUUUGACCGACGAUGCAAUCAUUGAACAGGUCUGUAUCAUUUUGCAUUUACAGAGUUUCAUGUUGGUGACAAGCAUUUAAGAAGCAUGCCUGUCGCUUUUACUGGUGACAGGCUUUGGGUAAAUUCGGCAUCAUCUGUGUGGAAGACCUUAUCCAUGAGAUCAUGACUGUGGGACCUCAUUUCAAGGCACCAUUGGGUGGUUUGAAGAAGAAGAGAAGCCAUUAUGUCGAAGGAAGAGAUGCCGGCAACCGUGAGAAUUACAUCAAUGAAGUGGUUAGGAGAAUGAAUUAAUAACUUGGUCUUAUUAGGAGGUAUUUUGGGUUUUAUUUGGAGGGAUCUUUAAUUUCAUUUAGAAAUUACAAACAGUGUUAGUAAAAGCAUCAAAUCUGCCUGGCAUUACCAUUACUCUACAAUGUGCUUGAGUUGAGCUUGAGCUUCAAUAUGAAUAAUGAGCUUAGCUCGAAUACAAAAAUUGAUAAACUGUUUAAAAGUAGAUAUUUGAUUGAGCUCAAGCUUUUCAGUAUUUAUGCUUGGCUAGGCACAAUUAACACCCCUAGUUUGCCAAGAAAUUUUAUUAGCUAUAGGCCCGAGUUGCAUUUUACGUCUUUUAAACUGCACUUGCUGCUUCUGUCAUAGACCACUAGGGAGAGUUACCAGAGCAUGUGUUUGUGGAGCUAAGUCCGAUAAAAUAGCAGAGUUCAAGUCUCGGCAUUUGAAUAAUAACGUUUCUUUUUGAAACUGGAAUUCCUAAUCCGCAUGUUGCCAGACCUAAGAACAUGAGAAAAUAAAGUGAAAUAAAACUUGUUUGAAAUCUCAUUCACCAUAUAUUUCCCAGGCUGGACAUGGACAUGAGCUGUUCACUGCCUGUUAGGAAGCGGAUGAGGAGUAACGAAUCAGAUUCAACUUCGAUGUUAGCCAGCUACAGCUCUACUAAUAAUUUCAGACCACAAAUGAUAGCAUAGCCAAAAGGCUUCCAUAUUAUGAGACGCAAGUCUCGUACAGCAUUUAGCAACCACAAAAUUUAAAAUUAUCACUUGAAUCACGCAACACUGCUGCAGUGCAAACCCCACAAUAUUUACUAUUUUGUUGGCUCCUACUUUGCAUCGACGUUGAACUUUAAACAACCCUCUCCUAGUUUGUUCUAUUUGCUGAGAUUGGAGCAUUACCAAAGCUCUGUGCAGACUAUAGUUUGCGCUAUCUACUUGGUCUAUGAAGUUAAGCCCCAAGGGUUCGUUUGUUUACAUGUAAAAGGUUUUACGGAAAAUAUUUUCUGCAUUUUCCUGUGUUUGUUUCACAGAAAAGAGCUUAGUCAACGGAAAAUGACUUAUAGGUCAACUGAAAAUAAGCAUUUUUCUUUUAUAUAAAAGAGCUCCUCAAUAGAUAAUUUUACUUUUAUAUAAAAAAUAACUUAAAUCAAGUUUAAUAUUAUUAUAUUGAUAAUAAAUUUUAUUUUUAUUUUUUAAAAUAUUUAAAAUAUUAAUAUAAAAUAUUAUAUUUUUUAAUAUUAUUAAACAUACGUAUUUAAUUAUUUAUAUUUAGUCAUAGAAUAAUUUAUUUAAUAUUUAAAUUUUAUUUUAAUAGUAAAUUUUAAAAAUAAUAAUUUUAAAUAAUAUUAUUCACAUAUUAUUGAAAAUAUCAAUAUUAAUAUUUUAAUACUAAAUAUUUAUUACAAUUAUAAAUAUAUUAAUAAUAAAUAUUUUGUAGUAUAAAUGUUAAAAUAUGUCAUAAGUCUAUAUACUCUUCACAAAUUUGCAAUUUAGUUUCUGUACUUUUAUUUUCAAGAAUUUAGUCCCUCUAUUUUUCAGAUUUGAAAAUCAAGUCCAACUGCUAACAUUGUUAUUUAUUUUGGUCAAUUUUGUUAAAGUCACAUUUUUAAAUAAAAAAAUACUCAGUUGAUAGUCAUGUAAUUAAAAAAUAAUCGUUGCAAUGAACCUAAAUUUAACAAAAUAUUUUUAAUAUAUGUAAAAACAAUGUAAAAUAUAAAAUUAUAUAUAUAAAAUAAACUCAAUUAAAUAAUGAAAAAAUAAAAAAAAUCUCAAAUAUAUGUUUGUUUAAUUGAAAACGACUUUUAUGAAAUAUUUUUAAAGAAUCUGCCAAACAAAAGAAAAUAUUUUACAAAGAUUCAUCUAAACACAAAAAAAUAUUAGCUUUUUCAGAAAAAUAAGUAAUUUUUCAGAAGCCAUUUUCCGGAAGCCAUUUUCAGUAAAACAAACGGAGCCUAACUUAUAGGAGUAACUAAAUUUAUUUAUUAUUCAACCGAUCCAAUAUUCAUAUAGAAUGUGUACUUUUUUCCUUUAAAUUACACUCACAAAGGAAAGGUAGGAGAGAGUGAUUUAUAAAGUUUACAACUAAUAAGUCUUAAUGGUACAAAUAACACCACCAGGAUCCGUGGCGCAAUGGUAGCGCGUCUGACUCCAGAUCAGAAGGUUGCGUGUUCGAUUCACGUCGGGUUCAAAUCCCCGAAAAACUUCGGAUCACUUUUUCCUUUUCUGCCUCUUCGGAUAUGGGCCCAUCUGGGCUAAGCCCGAUCUGAGUUGUUCCUUAAAGGGGGAAACAGGAUCCCAGCCGUCCAUUGAAUCAUCAAAAACCUAACAAAACCCUAUUUAAUAUUUUCAAAGUCUCUUCUCGUCCCCCUUUUACUCUUUUUUUUUGUACAAGCCCUUGAUAACUCUCCAGCAGCCGCAUCCAAGUAAGGCUAGAAAUUUGUAUUUCGUUGAUUUUAUUUUCUGUUUUGCUUUAAUUUUAUUAACUCUACAUUCGUACAGGCAUUGAUUUUGUUUUACCAAAUUGCUUAUUUUAAAAAACAUGGGUCUUCCUUCUUACUUGGAUUGUGCAAGGUUUAGUCUGUAAAAAGUUUUAUUAACUCUACAUUAACACAAAAGAAUGGAUUGGGUUUUAUUCUACGACUGUUAGAUACCUGGAAUUUGUUUCCUGAUUGGUUUUGGUUGGAUAUAAUUUUGAUUAGAGAUGGGUGAGGAAGCUAAGGCUGUGGUUCCCGAGUCACUAUUGAAGAAGAAUAAGAGGAAUGAAGAAUGGGAACUUGCUAAAAAGCAGGAGCUUGAAGUUGCAAAGAAGAAGAAAGUUGAGAACCGCAAGCUGAUUUACUCUAGAGCCAAGCAGUAUGCAAAGGAGUAUGGAGCUCAGGUAAAUUUGCUGUUUUCUUUUUUCUUUUUGGAUUUAUGUGGUCUGUAAUCCUGAAAGCAUCUGAAUUGUGUUGUGUUGUCUGUAAUCCUCAGGAAAAGGAGUUGAUUCAGUUGAAGCGCGAGGCCAGGUUAAAAGGAGGGUUUUAUGUUGAUCCGGAAGCUAAGCUUUUGUUCAUCAUUCGAAUUCGAGGGUAUGUGAAUAUUUUGACAUUUCAUUGAUUUAUGAAAGUAAAUUCUAAACGGUAACAUUUUGUGAAUGUAUGUUUUCAGUAUUAAUGCCAUGCACCCCAGGACAAGAAAGAUCUUGCAGCUCUUGCGUCUGAGACAGGUAACUUGCCUUAUCUUUCCAAAACUAAAAUUCUGUGUAAUGAGAAUCAAUUCUCCUAUUUUCCCUGAAUGUAUGCUGUGCAUGAAGUUAAUUUCCCUUUGAUAGCUAAUCUGUGUUAUGAUAUCUUGUUGAAAUAACCUUAAUCGUUUUAUAUGUUGGUAUUAAUGUGCUUUUGUUUGAGAAGUUUUGCCCAAAUUGAAGGCAAGUGUGGGUUUGUUGAAACUUUGGGUAUCAUGGUAAAAGUGAGCCUUUCUAACACUGUAGGGAGACUGUCGUUAAUUUAGUGGAAACUAUUUAAUAUUUUUGUGUAAUAAAUAAAUAUCUGAAUCUAAAUUAUGAUGCUUGCUUCAAUGGAAUGUAGAUUUUCAAUGGUGUUUUUCUUAAAGUGAACAAGGCAACAAUGAACAUGCUUCACCUUGUUGAACCUUAUGUGACUUAUGGGUAUUUUUUUAAACUCUCCUGCUUCCUUGCAUUCUCUUUUACUAGUUUUAUGUACUUGCCAAUGCUUAUUUCUUAGUAAUGUAUGCAUCUAGAUACCCGAAUCUCAAGAGUGUGAGGGAGUUGAUUUACAAAAGAGGUUUUGGGAAGUUGAACAAGCAGAGAAUUGCUUUGACUGACAACGCCAUUGUUGAGCAGGUUUGUAACUUUUCAUUUAUGAUGGUUUCAUGUUGAUGUCAGACAUUUUUUAAGAACAAUUGUUUUUGUACUUAUUGCAGGCUUUGGGCAAGUUUGGCAUCAUCUGUGUGGAAGAUCUCAUCCAUGAGAUCAUGACUGUGGGGCCUCAUUUUAAGGAGGCCAACAACUUUCUUUGGCCAUUUAAGCUAAAGGCACCAUUGGGAGGUCUGAAGAAGAAGAGAAACCACUAUGUUGAAGGAGGAGAUGCUGGCAACCGCGAAAAUUACAUCAACGAGCUAAUUAGGAGAAUGAACUAGACAUGAUAUUUGUUAAUUUAGCGGUUUGAGAUUUUAGUUUAUGUGCAAGGAUCCUUGAUCUAUUUUGGAGGUUGAGAGAAGUUUUCAUAAAAAGUAUGAAAUUUGCAAUUAUCUACUAUGCGACUGUAGUUCCUAAAAGUUUUGUGGUAUUUAAAGAUUUUAUUUCUAAUGCAUUAGAUAGUGCUUAUUUGAUUCUUGUCACCUUAAAUGCUUAAAAUGUUUGCAGAUUCAUAAAAGUUUGGGCAUUGUGAAGGUAAAUGACCAGUCUUUUUGUCUGAAAUUUAUUGACUUUUUAAUGAUGAAAUAGAAGAUGGAGACCAACUGAUAUAAACCCGAAAUCCCAUAUUCCCAGGUUUUUGUUGAGAGUUACGAAGUCAAAAUAGUGUGGAAUUGAAGUAAAAUACUAUUUGUAGUACUUGUAAUUUUGAAGUUGAUUGACAAAAUCUUUGGAUACCAUAAGGAUUAAAAUGCAUUUGGUCUCUUGUUCAAGUGGAAAGUAUUAUGGAAAUUGAAACUUCCAUGUAAAAUUGAUAAUGUUGUUGCGGAAAGAAUGCAAUAAUCUAGUGCCAGUCAGGAAUGAACUAAAAGGAAACAAAUUUGGGUUAAUGAUGCAUGUCUGUUUGUUCUGUCAUGAUGAAGAGACAAUAAACGACCUUUUCAGAGCAUGUUCCUUUGCGAAAGCGAUAUUACAUGAUAGGAUUGACAGUAGUCAAAAUUAUAUACGACAAUGAUUCCAACAGUGUUUUGAGUUCCACACGACGGAGGUAAUGAUUAGGGCAGGAUCUAUUUACCUAAAUAGUAUGGGAGUAAAAUUAUUUACCUAAAUAGCAUGAAUGCUACUGUGAAAAUGAUGGCUGAAACGAGGGCUGAUACCAAAUCGACACAGGAGCCAAUCCCUCACAAUCAGUCUCAUCAAUCGCAUCCAAAAUAUUAAAUCGCGAUGAAUUGGCUCUUGCCUUAUCUAUAAUUGUUUCAUCCGAUGUUACAGUUGUGCUUGCAGCCUUCCCCAGCAGCUGCUAUUGACGCCCUGCAGCGACCAUUAAUGGGCCGUGCAACUCUUCCGCAUCGAGAUUAUUGUUAUCCCCCGUUGAAAUAUUUUCAGUCAGUUUAUCCGUAGACCUAUUUCCCUUAUUAGCAUCCUUAUGUACAUAAGAUUCAUUUAUAUGACCAAAAUGACCACAUACGUAGCAAAUGAGCAGUAACCCUUCAUACUUAAUCCGUUGAGAAAAAUCGUCUGAUACCAAGUGAAGGCAACAGUGGCUUACUCAGGUAAACUAUUACAGCAAGGUGAGCAAAAUGACCCCUCUUCCCCUCAGUCGUAUUAUAGUCGAUUUUGAUCACCUUGCCAAUAACAUUCGCAAUUGCCCGAAAGAUACUCUUAGUAUAAUACCGGUUAGGGAGCGCUGGCAACAACGUGAGAAGGAUAUAGUUCCUUAGUGGACAAGUGCCUACUCCAAGGUUGGACUGUCAAAUAACUAUCAUACAACGUCCAUGGUCCUUCCAUGAGCACUUUCUUGCAAUCUUUUUAUUGAAAAACUUUACUAGGAAAUAUUCAUUAUCCAAACCAAUAAGCUGUAAUCUACCCGCUAGCUGCCAGAGUGAUUGAAUUCACCCCAUUAAAGCUUUAAACCCAAUUGAUCUUCCAAGUAGUCGCACAAUCUCUACAUUUCCCAUGCUACGAUCAAUAAGAUUAUGAACUCUAUCAGAAAAAUGAAUCUCCGGAAUUGAGCCCUUAUUCUCAACCACCACAUCCUCCUCCCCCAAUUCAAAACCCACUGCUCCAGGCCAAGCAUUAUCACUCUCAACUAGAACUCUAUUUAAAAGCAAAUUAUCCUUAAAAGAUAGCUUUUCAGCCGGUGCUUCAUCCAUAACUAAGUAAACAGUAUCAUCCACACCAUCCUCCUUAUUCUUAACUUUUUUUUUUUGUAACUUUCGCAAUCUUUAACGGAAUCGAAGAUCUCGGUUGUUCAUCUGUCGAUAUUAAGAUUCACUGCUGCCAUCCCCUUAUACACUCUUUUAAGUAUAUGUCAAAUAUAUACACACGUAUUUUUUAGCAUUAAGCACUUUUUAAACCUUAUGAGUUGAAUGAAAUUUUUUAUCAAAUCGAAGUUGGCCUAUUACAGUUAUUUGAGUCUAUAUUGAUUCCACAAGCAACUUCAAUGUUGGAGGAGAACUUUGACCUAUAUAUAUAUAUAUAUAUAUAUAUAUAUAUAAGAGCUCACUUUGUACUCUCAAAAUUUUGGCCGGAUGAUAUUUCCGGUGGGGGUUGGUAUUAUGGUAGAUGAAGUCUGGCAUGAAACCUUGGAAUGCAAUCAAAAGUGGUUUAUUGGGCAUGCAAAGCUGUCAUCUCUCACAAAUUUUCCACUUAUUAAUCUUUUAUAUAUUUUAAAAUAUUUCCAUUUUUUACUUGUGCAUCUUCUUUUAUUUAAAAAAAAAGACUAAUAUUAAAUAAAAAGAAAUACAAUAAUUGAUGGGUCAUUGUCAUUCCCUCUAUUAUUAUACUCCACGGGCGGGGGUCCAUUUAAAAGGAGUUUUAAAUUUUGAGCAAACGCUUAGAAUACACUUAUCCUCCCUAGUGUCCAUACCCAUUAAUAAAUAUUUUCGCAAAUUAAAAAAGAAAAACGAAUGGGAAUUUUGUCCAUAAUCAUCAAAAUAUAAUUAUUUUAUUAUUUAUGUGUGAGUUUACAUUUAGAUUAAUUUUGAUUUAAUUCUAAUGUACAAUUUAUCUCAUAUGUUUUGGUUAAUAAUUUAUUUAUAAUUAUAUUUUCUUAUAUAUCACUUGUAAUUAAAAAACGAAAUUUCUUAAUUCAAUGAAAAGAAUAUUAUAACUCAAUAAUAAUAUUAUUAUUACAGUCUCCUCCCUUAAUUAUAAAAAAGAGUACCCGAAAAUUCUGAAGAUAAAUAAAUAAAUUACAGUAAAAGAGGAAGGGCGGGUUUGUCCUUUCGCUCCUAUGUUCUUCUUGUUUUUGCCUUUACCUUUAAAAAAAAAAGCAGAACAUCAACCAGCAUAAUAUUAUAAAAAUAAAAAAUAAAAGAGCUUCACUCUCCCAAUCUCCCUGCAUAUUCUCUUUAUUUUUCUUUUCCUGCUUUACUAUUUAUAUUAAUUUCUGUAGGCAAUACUAAAUUUUUUCUUCCAUUUCAUGCAAGCUGAUCCAGCAAUCUAUUUCCUCUGUUUUUCUUUUCACUUUUUCCAUGAUCUGUAAGUUCCAAUUUUCUUUUUCUUUUUUCCUUUGUCGUCGAACUUUUUUUUUCUUAAAUUUAGGGUUUCAGUAACUAGACAUUUUCUUUUUAUUUUGGUUCUUCUUCCCCUGCUUCGAGCUUGUUUAAUGUAGUGCUUUGUUCUGGUUACAGUUUAGAUAAUUCCUGGUUUUUUUUUUUUUUUUUGGUUCUAUACUUUUUAUAUAUAUUACGUUAGGAAGCUUAAUGGAAAUAUCAAUGUAUAUUAUUUAUGCUUAGUUACCAAACUAUAGAUCAUCCGAGUGAUAUCGGUUUGUUUAGUUAGAUGUUUGGCACUUAAUUAGAUAGAUGGUUAGCAAUGACCUGCAUUUUAGUUUAAGCUGUUAACAAUUCUUUAUUUUUCAUAAUGAAUUUUCCAUUCUUAACUAUCUUAUUACACUUGUUCUUUCUUUGGUGAUCUAACAGAGUGUAGAUUCAGAACAAUGACGAGGGUAAGUCGGAAUUUUAGCGAUACUGUGGAGAAGGAAGCACUUCCAGCUGUAUCAGCUGAUGUAAUAUUUGCUUCAAGUCGUUUUCCCAAUUACAAAAUUGGGGCAAAUAAUCAUAUUGUGAAUGUCAAAGGAGAUCCUAAAGUUUUGUCAAUGAAGGAGAUUGUUGCACGUGAGACUGCAUUGUUGUUGGAGCAGCAGAAUCGCCUCUCUGUUCGUGACCUUGCUAAUAAAUUUGAGAAGGGGUUAGCUGCUGCUGCUAAGUUGUCUGAAGAGGUCAAAUCCUUUCAAAGUUAAUUUAGUUAUUGCAGUUUUCUUAGAUAGAUUGCUAAAGACAUUUGUAUAAAUUUUCUACCUUUAAAUUGACUUAUUUGUGCCUUAUGAAGAAUCCAAAGAAUUGAAGAUAGGUUGUUCGAGACUACUUAUAAGUUGGUUUGUGUUUAAAUCUAAUGCUUAAAGGUUAGCUCAAUGUUCUGCUUGAGUCGCAUUAAGCGAUCAGUUGGUUGAUAAAUUUUGGUUUAUAGGCUAUUAUUUGUUUAUGCUUCUUGGAUUAUCACUGGCUUGAAGAACUAGGUUGCUCUCUGCGAAGUCUGUUCAUGCGAGUCAUUCUUCUCUUUUUGUCUGCUGUUUCUGUUAACAAUUGAGAAGCAUUGGGACUAUUAUUAAUUUUUAAUCCCUACAGAUUGUCAUGUGAACAAACUAUAGUCAUUUAUUGGAUUCAGGCUAGACUCAGAGAGGCAGCAUCACUGGAGAAACAUGUCCUUUUGAAGAAGCUUAGAGAUGCGCUCGAAUCUUUAAAAGGACGCGUGGCUGGAAGAAACAAGGAUGAUGUAGAGGAAGCUAUUGCCAUGGUUAAUGUUUUAUGUUUUGCCGUUUUAUUAUUGAAUUGUGAUCUAUCAGUGAUAUGCUAGUCCUAUUUAUUAUAAUUUUGAAAGUUAAAUGCUAAUAUUUAAAAUGCAUUACUACUUUUUAGUAUUCGCUAUUAGUCUUGGUGCGUAAGAAAUAAUGUUCAUGGUGAAAUAUUAGGGAAAAAAAUGCUGUAACUUUAAGGGUGUGAUUGCAGAUUUGUUGCUUCAGUUGAAAUUUCUAGGUUCAAUGAUGCUAAUAUCAUUCAUCUCAACAUUUUCCAAACGUUUUGCCACUUUGUAAUUAUUGGGAAAGUACUAGGUCUGGAGUUUAAUUAGCAGUUAAACAUGAUAUGCCGUACCCAUUGAUGUCUUCUAUUAAAGAAGGGUUUCGGUUUAGAAAUAGCGUGGAAAAUGUUUUAAGUUUUGCGGUCAUCAUCUAUAGUAUAGUUAGAUAUGAAGCCAACUUCUUUUCUAGGAGAAAGCUGGUCGCCUUGUUUAAAUAUAUCACCUUUGAGAAAGCAUGUUUUUUUGCAACAUCUUGGGUGGGAUAAAUGGAUAUAAAUAAAAAGUAAAUUAAAAAAAUCCUUCAACGCUUUAGAUGUUCUCUUUUCAUCCCUGAUUAUCACUAUCCCCUUUGUGUGAUUGAUCUAAUACUAAAACAAUCUAUUUGGUUUCUUAGUUAAUGUAUAUCGCCUGAAAACUUUCCAGUAAGGCUAUAAUAACCUUUGAAAUAUGGUUGCUUCUCCAGGUCGAAGCUCUGGCAGUUCAACUUACUCAAAGAGAAGGAGAGUUGAUUCAAGAAAAGACAGAAGUGAAGAAACUAGCAACUUUCCUGAAGCAGGUAAUAUAACUUAUGAUAAAUGCUGGAUGCUUUUCCAUCCUUUUUCUUUAUUUCAUAUUAAAUUAGUUUAGAAUGUAUAAUUGUAGCAUCAAUAUGUCUGAAAAUGCUUAACAAUCAAAUGCAUUAUUUGUUACAUAUUCAUGUUGUACUUCAUAAGUGUGUUUUUGGUACGAGAGAUGCUGAAUUUUGAUCAACAUUUAGAAAAUAUAAAUGUAUUGUCUAACAAAGACAGUGAUUUAUGACAGUCUUUCUCUUGAGCUUUCGGUAUUUCAUGUUAAAGUACCGUUGUUGAGAAAUUUAGCUGAAUAGUGAAUAAGUAUGGCACCUCUUGGUUAGUUAUUAUAGUUUAGUGGAAGAAUACCUUUUUCUUUGUUGAAGUACUGAUCUUUUUGGCUGGAAUGAUGUCAAUUAAAUUAUGGUUCUCUCAAGUUCACGAAUUUAUAUCUUGGAAAUGGAGUGUGAGGCUAUCAUAUUGAAAUUUUGAAUAAAAAUAAUAGUUUAGAAAAUGCUUUGCUUGCUAUUGUUUUUUUUUUUUUAAAUGUGCACCUUAACUUAUUAUUGUAGCUAUUCUUUAUGAUCCUCACCUUAACUUUAAUAUUUUCUCUCCUUUUAAAUUUGUCUAUUUGGUUUCACCUUGUUCUGAUUGUUGUCAUAAACAUUUACUGAUACAAUGGUGGUAGAAUACUUGGUUUGUUGCUUUCUGAUUUGACUGGCAAGAUUUAUUUUUCUUUGCCACCCUUUCCUAAUUAUUAACCCUCAUCCAGGAAAGGAAUGAAAAGACCUUCCUUUCUAAUUCUGAAAUGUUUAUACUUCUAUCAAGGUUUUCUGGAGAACGACUGUUUUUAGUUCUUGUCUCUGGAAACUAUCUUUUGUUCUCAAAACCAUAAGUUUUUUCAAUGUAACAAUUUCAAGAGAACUGUUCUCAGGACACCCGAUUUUCUCAAAAAUAUAUCUAUUUAUUUGUUUUUAUCUGUAUUCAGAUUGUUUCAUUUUUGUUUUUCAGUUUAAGUUAUUCAAAUGUAGUUUUGUAUUAGAAUUAAUGCACCUAACUUCUUUGCUUUCUAAGAGAAGUGUUUUGAGAAUUAAAGAAAGAAAAGAACCUUGAACCUGAACUACCUAUAUUGUUUUUGAAGAAUGCUGCUCUGAUAACAUCUGAGAUUAUCUAAGCUUGCAUUGGCUGGGUCCUUGAGUUAUUUGCUUAAUUCCCUUUUUAUACUUCGAUGCAUAUAACAUACUAAUUCUUCUGUUACUGCUUUGCUUUGCAUACUUGUGUCUUGAAAUAGGCUUCGGAAGAUGCUAAAAAACUUGUCGAUGAGGAAAGAGCUUUUGCUCGUGCUGAAAUUGAGAAUGCUAGAGCAGCAGUUCAGAGAGUGGAAGAGGCCCUUCAGGAGAAAGAACAAAUGUCUCGAGCUUCAGGCAAACAGGUUUUUGUUUUAAUAUUCAGUUUAUUGAAAUUAAAGUCUAUUUGCUAAAGGAAUCUAGCUUUAUAUUUACACUCCUCUCUUUCCCCGUUGCAUUAACUGUGAAAAUAUGUUUUGCUAUCACUUAAUAUAAAUUUCAUAUUAUAGUAUUCUCUUGUGAGCCUAUUUCCUUCAUUAUAUCAGUUUCUGCUAUGUGUUUUUAAAUGUGGCAAUUCUUUUCUAUGUUUUUGUCUUUUGUUUGUGAACAAAUAUUUUCCAUGGAUUUCAGGACCUGGAAGAACUAAUGAAGGAGGUUCAAGAGGCUAGACGGAUCAAAAUGCUGCACCAACCAAGCAAGGUUUAUCUUAGAUACUUAUUAUUAUUUUCUGAAAACUUCUAACCUAUUUCAAGUCACUUUGGGUUUAUAGCAUGCUGCUGCCUCAGUUUUUUAAACCAUGAAAAUUGGUUUACUUUUGUGCAUGAUGCAAGUUAUAUGUGUCUGCUGUAGUAAUUCACAAUCUUUUAGUCUUACAAACUCAUAAUCUUAUAUAACGUGCAAGGAUGUUAGAAAAUAUAUGCUCUGAUGUGUUUUAAAGAUGGAGAACAUUAUUAUUGUACUUUUAUCAUCUCUCUUGAGGUCAGGAUAGCUUGUGGGGGUUAAUGAGUUUUCUUGUUUACCUGUUUCACGCCCCCAAUCAUAUUAAUGACUUAAGUCUGUUAAGUCUUCUUCCGGAUUUUGUUAAGGUAAAAAAUCCAUCUAUAAAGAUAGAAGUAUACCAUAUUAGGGGUGAAAAAAAGCAACAAAUGUAAUAAGUCUUUUGUCGCCAUGUGCAUGGUUUAUGCUAAUAUCUUUUAUCUUUUAAGUAUAAUUUAAAUCUAGGCCCUUAGAAUAAGGUAAAGUGCCCUAUUACUUGAGUAGUUUUUGUUGGAAUCCCUAUAAUUAAGGAUAGAAAUCUGAUGGUAUUGGAAUCCCUAUAAUUAAGGAUAGAAAUCUGUUGUGAUCUCUUGUAAAUAGAAACUAAUCUCAGUUACUGAUUCUUAGGAAAUUACGAUAUCAAUUACUGAUUCUUAGGGAUUAGGAUUUAUUUCCUUUAAAAUGAUUAUUUUUCUCUUUAUAAAGCUGUAAACUAAAGCAGUAGCAAUAUAACAGAAAUUUUCCUCUGAGUGUUUUUACAUGGCAUCAGGGCUAUAGGAUUCACUCGAUCCUAUUUUUUUCUCUAAAUUCCCUUACUAAAAAUUUCUGUGGUUUAGUCCUCCAAUGGGUGAUAUCAAUGAGAAUUUCUCUGAAACUGAGACAUCACAAAUAACUCAGAAUAUCAAUCAGGGAAUCACUCAAGGUGAAAUUAAUUCCUCCCUUAUAAUCACCAAUCAUCGGCUAAAUGGGAAGAACUUCUUGCAAUGGUCUCAAUCGGUUCUUAUGGUGAUUCGUGGUCGUGGCAAAUUAGGGUACAUCAAUGGAGAAAUCCCACGACCAACCAUGGCUGAUCCUACUUAUGCCACUUGGGAACUCAACAAUUCAAUUGUAAUGGCUUGGCUAAUCAAUUCAAUGGAAGGCCAUAUAAGCCGCACCUAUCUUUUUUUCAAAACUGCAAAAGACAUGUGGGAUGCAGUCAAAGAAAACUACUCAGAUCUUGGAAACGCCUCCCAAGUAUUUGAAAUCAAGCUNNNNNNNNNNNNNNNNNNNNNNNNNNNNNNNNNNNNNNNNNNNNNNNNNNNNNNNNNNNNNNNNNNNNNNNNNNNNNNNNNNNNNNNNNNNNNNNNNNNNNNNNNNNNNNNNNNNNNNNNNNNNNNNNNNNNNNNNNNNNNNNNNNNNNNNNNNNNNNNNNNNNNNNNNNNNNNNNNNNNNNNNNNNNNNNNNNNNNNNNNNNNNNNNNNNNNNNNNNNNNNNNNNNNNNNNNNNNNNNNNNNNNNNNNNNNNNNNNNNNNNNNNNNNNNNNNNNNNNNNNNNNNNNNNNNNNNNNNNNNNNNNNNNNNNNNNNNNNUGACCCAAUUUCUAAUCGUCCUACUGAAACCUCUGCUCUCAUCUCCAAAGGUCCACAGCCACAAAAACGUGCUGGAAAUGAUUCUGGAUCAACAAGACCAUGGUGUAGUCACUGCAAUCGUGUUGGUCAUACAAAAGAAAAAUGCUUCAAACUCCAUGGCUAUCCUAAAAAAAAACAGAAGGAUAAUAAGACUGCCAUGUUAUCCUCCACUACUGCUGAUGAUGUUCUUGAUGUUCGCUUAACCAAAACACAGCUUGAGACUCUCCAUAAGAUACUUGGUACUCCCACUACUCAUGGAUCUCUAGCAACUCAAGGUACUGCCCUCAACAUUGCUUUUGAAUCUAAUAAUCAAUCUCCUUGGAUACUCGAUUCGGGCGCCUCUGAUCACAUGACAGGUGACUCCACGUUGUUUCACACCUACACUCCUUGUCAUAACAAAUCCCGAAUCCGCAUAGCUGACGGUUCUUACUCACCUGUGGCUGGAAUAGGAGAAGUACAAAUGACAGAGAAUUUUUCUCUCGAUAAAGUCCUACAUGUUCCAAACUUGUCCUGUAAUUUACUUUCAAUUAGUAAACUUACUAAGGAUGAAAAAGUUCUUGCUGAAUUUUCUGCAAUUGGUUGUGUGAUACAGGAACAGAAAUCGGGGAGGAUGAUUGGCACUGCUAAAGUUGAUGAUGGACUAUAUAUUUGGAAUAAAAACAGUACACAAGGGGGAUUGGCUCUAUCCACUGCAAAAGAGGACACUAUUAUGUUAUGGCACCGUAGGUUAGGACAUCCAAACUUUGUGUAUUUGAAAAAACAUCUUCCGCUGUUAUUUCGAAAUAAAAGUAUUAAUUCCUUGAAGUGUGAAAUUUGCCAAUUAUCUAAACAUACCCGUGUGCCAUACCCAUUAAAACCACAUAUUCAGUCCCAACCUUUUUCGUUAAUCCAUAGUGACCUAUGGGGAGCCAGCCGAGUGAAAAAUAUUACAGGGGCUAGAUGGUUUAUAACAUUCAUUGAUGAUCAUACUAGGGUCUGUUGGGUCUAUCUACUCAAAGAAAAAUCUGAAACACCCAAAGUAUUCCAAAAUUUUCACUCAAUGGUUCGAACCCAAUUCAACUCUACCAUACAUACCCUCCGUACUUAAACCUCUGCACGCGCAGUGGCAACUCUGUCUUANNNNNNNNNNNNNNNNNNNNNNNNNNNNNNNNNNNNNNNNNNNNNNNNNNNNNNNNNNNNNNNNNNNNNNNNNNNNNNNNNNNNNNNNNNNNNNNNNNNNACCUUUCUGACCAAGGCAUUAUACACCAAAGCUCUUGUCCUGACACUCCUCAACAAAACGGGAUCUUUGAGAGGAAAAAUCGUCAUCUUCUUGAUGUGGCUCGAGCCAUAAUGUUCACUAUGAAUGUUCCAAAAUACUUGUGGGGAGAAGCUGUCCUUACUGCCUGCUAUCUCAUAAACCGAAUGCCAUCAAAGAUCCUCAAUUUCCAAACACCUCUAAAUACUCUUUUAAAGGCCUUCCCUCUAUUUCAUGUCCCUAAUCUUCCAGCCAAAAUAUUCGGCUGUAAAGCUUUUGUCCAUAACCAUCAACCAAAUCAAUCCAAACUUGAUCCUCGAGCCCACACCUGUAUCUUCAUUGGAUAUUCCCCUACACAAAAAGGCUAUAAGUGUUACUCACCAACAUUGCGCCGAAUGUUUGUCUCUCGAGAUGUUACCUUCUUUGAAAAUGAACCAUACUUUGCAGCAUCUCAUCUUCAGGGGGAGAUUUUUAAUGAAGAUGAGACCUUAAUACUCUCCUCAUUAUACCGCCUGAUCCUACUACUACUAUCCCAAAUUUAGUUGUUUCCCCUAUACAGCAAGAAUUUAACACCGUCCUUCCCAAUGACAAUACCUCCACCGAAGUACAACAGCCACUUGAUCAAGGAAAACAGCAAAUACAGGUUUACUCCCGACGGAAUCGUUCUCCUGAAACUGAUAGAGCAGUGCCAAUUACAUCUCCAACCGAGGACUGUUCUGAAGCAGAAGUCCCACCUCCGUCACCAUCCAUCUAUCUUCCAAUUGCAGUUCGAAAGGGUACAAGGAGCUGCACUCAACAUCCUAUUUCUCGGUUUGUAUCCUANNNNNNNNNNNNNNNNNNNNNNNNNNNNNNNNNNNNNNNNNNNNNNNNNNNNNNNNNNNNNNNNNNNNNNNNNNNNNNNNNNNNNNNNNNNNNNNNNNNNNNNNNNNNNNNNNNNNNNNNNNNNNNNNNNNNNNNNNNNNNNNNNNNNNNNNNNNNNNNNNNNNNNNNNNNNNNNNNNNNNNNNNNNNNNNNNNNNNNNNNNNNNNNNNNNNNNNNNNNNNNNNNNNNNNNNNNNNNNNNNNNNNNNNNNNNNNNNNNNNNNNNNNNNNNNNNNNNNNNNNNNNNNNNNNNNNNNNNNNNNNNNNNNNNNNNNNNNNNNNNNNNNNNNNNNNNNNNNNNNNNNNNNNNNNNNNNNNNNNNNNNNNNNNNNNNNNNNNNNNNNNNNNNNNNNNNNNNNNNNNNNNNNNNNNNNNNNNNNNNNNNNNNNNNNNNNNNNNNNNNNNNNNNNNNNNNNNNNNNNNNNNNNNNNNNNNNNNNNNNNNNNNNNNNNNNNNNNNNNNNNNNNNNNNNNNNNNNNNNNNNNNNNNNNNNNNNNNNNNNNNNNNNCAGACAUAGCCUUCAGUGUGAGUGUUAUUAGCCAGUAUAUGCAUGCCCCGAGGGAGAAGCACCUGGAAGCUGCAUAUAGAAUACUAAGAUACCUAAAAGGAACUCCUGGUAAAGGCCUGUACUUUAAGAAGACUAUCAACCGAAGCGUGGAAGUCUACACUGAUGCAGACUGGGCAGGUUCUGUUAAUGAUAGACGCUCUACAAGCGGCUAUUGUAGUUAUGUUUGGGGUAAUCUCGUGACGUGGAGGAGCAAAAAACAAUCUGUGGUAGCACGCAGCAGUGCAGAGGCAGAGUAUCGAGCACUAUCUCAUGGUAUAUGCGAAGGAGUUUGGAUACAAAGACUUAUGGGAGAACUAAAAGUGCCUUUUACCAGACCUAUGAAGAUGUACUGUGACAACCAGGCUGCUGUCAGCAUAGCACAUAAUCCUGUGCAUCAUGAUCGGACCAAACAUGUGGAAAUAGAUCGUCACUUUAUAAAAGAAAAAGUACACUCAGGAGAAGUAUGCAUCAUCUACCUACCUACUAGACAACAAGUUGCAGACAUGUUAACCAAAAGUUUGAACAGAAACAUGUUUGAAGAACUUAGUGGCAAGCUGGGUUUGAUUAACAUCUACACUCCAACUUGAGGGGGAGUGUUGGAAUCCCUAUAAUUAAGGAUAGAAAUCUGAUGGUAUUGGAAUCCCUAUAAUUAAGGAUAGAAAUCUGUUGUGAUCUCUUGUAAAUAGAAACUAAUCUCAGUUACUGAUUCUUAGGAAAUUACGAUAUCAAUUACUGAUUCUUAGGGAUUAGGAUUUAUUUCCUUUAAAAUGAUUAUUUUUCUCUUUAUAAAGUUGUAAACUAAAGCAGUAGCAAUAUAACAGAAUUUUUCCUCUGAGUGUUUUUACAGUUUUGUUGCUGCUUCUGUUGUCAUUUAAAAAUAUGAUUUCCAAAGGCAAGUAUUAAUAUGACCAUGGUCCUCUCCUGCUCUUGAAUUGAAGAAAUAAAAGAAAAAGGAAAGUUUUUUGUGUGAUUGUUAAGCAUCCAACCUAAAACCAAUUGCCAAUAGGUGAGGGGCUCAACUUGGAUAUAAGGUCACAAGAAACCCGAGAUUUAUUAGAUGUGAUAUAAUACCAAAUAACACUCCCCUUUAUGUGUUUCUCAACAAGGGCCUAUACGUGGACAACCUCACAAAGGGUGGUUGACCCCACAUGGGGUUAUGCAGGAAGAAUAGAUCAUGCCUUGGGUCUAAUACCAUGUUAAAUAAGGUGAUGAUAGUCCUAAAAGCUUAAGCAUAUAGGAAAUGGUCCAACCAUUAUAUUUAAGUUUCAGCAAUGAUGAACAUAAUUCUUAAAAAAAAUGAAGCAAGUAUAGUUUUUAUAGAUGUGAUUACCGAAUGGCAAGUCUUAUUAUUGCCAUUGCUCUCUCUUCUUCAUCCCUGAAUUGAAAAGGAUUGGACCUGCUAGUGAUGAAAAUUGUUCUUCUAAACAUGAAAAUAAUCAUUAUGGCAUCCACUUGGUUAUUUUUCCUUUGGCAUUCCUCUAGACAUAGGUGAAGAAAUCAUGGAGUGGGAUGCAUUAUGUUAAACAAUUCAAUUAUAAUUUGACAUAUGUUUUGAAGUCUGACUUAUGAGGACAGAGCAGAGCAGAUUCUUAGAGUAACCUUUGGGUAUAUGCUCAUGAGAAUUUGUGUUGAAAUGUUGCAUUCUUUAAGUUUUUUGUUUUGUUUCUCCCAUAGAGCUCUCUAAUUGAAUGAUAGCUUGGCUUUGGCUGCAAAAUGAAUCAAGCUAUGGAUAGGCAUGUUUAAUUUUAAGGAGGUUUGCACAAAAAGCAAAUCCUAUCAAGUCUAUUGUAUUGGUGUAUGGAAAAUGCUCCUCUGAAGUAUGUCUGACUUGCAGCAUGACAAAUCAAAUUGACACCAUUUCUGCUAGAUGUACUUGUUUCAAAUCAUUUUUAGUUGAAAUACUGGAUGAGUUAAACCAAUAACAAUUUUCAGGUAAUGGAUAUGGAACAUGAGCUUCGUGCAUUAAGGGUUCAACUUGCAGAGAAGUCUAAGCAUUCUCUACUGCUUCAGAAAGAGGUUAGUCUUUUUACCUUUUAUCAUGUGGAUCUUGUUGAUCAGUUUCUUUCAGCCAUUCUAUUUGUGAUAGUUGAAUGAAUGGUCAUAGGUUUUUAGAUUAUUCUUGGUUCUUCCUAAGAAAGGUAUAUAUAUUUUCUAUGGUGCCAUGUUGAGCCACAAAAUUUUCAUUUCCUUCUCACUUUCUAUUCCUUUACUGUGUUGGUAUUUGCUUUGUUGAAGGAACUUCUUCUGAAACUGAAAAGUUAGGGAGGUCAAUGAUCUUUGGGAUAAUACAUUGACCUGUAAUUCUCUGGUUUCAGCAUAAUGAGGCCCUCAUAUGUUUGGGUUCUGAUGUCAAAUGCAUGGACAAACUUAGAUGUCUAUACCUCUAUUCCUAAAAAACGUAAAAUAAGACUGAAUCAGUGAAUAGUAUGCUCUCUACUGCUUAAAUAAGACCCUCAAUUAGCUUAACAGCAAAGAAAGACCACAUAAUUUUCUUUUUGAAAGAAUCUGUUUCAAAUUUCCAUACACAUGAUCGUAAAGUUUUGUGCUAUCUAAAUGGACAUCAUCCCUAGUAGGCUUUCCCCCAGAUAAUCAGCUUCUAAGUUAACGAGAUCGUUAAACCAUAAUACCAAUUAAGUAGAAAAAGGGUGGUACUUAUCAUUUCUUUUUCCCACUUUGCAGUGCUAUACUGGUAUUCUUUCUGAAGGAUGUUAUUAACUCCUGUUACAUUUAUUUUCUAAUUUUUAUUAGGCAUUUAUGUGGAACUGACUGGUACAUAUAACUGUGUUCCAUUCUUUCUUUAAUCAUUAACUUCUUUAACCUUCUGCUUUCCUUAACUAAUUUUUGCAGCUAGCAAGAAGCAAGAGAGUCAAGGAAAAUUUAUCUCACUUGUAUGAACUGGAUGGUGCUGAAGUUUUAGGUUCAUAUUUGCGGAUUAAACCUUGUUCUGAUAUUGCUCCAGAACUUUCCAAAUGUGCAAUUCAGUGGUAUCGUAUCUCAUCUGAAGGUGGCAAAAAGGAGCUUAUAUCAGGUAAAGAUGGCCAUUGAUUAUAUCGGUUGGUUCGGUCAGUUAAGUCGGUUAAUUGACUUAUUUAAAAUAUUAUAGAAUAUAUAUUUUAAAUAAUGAAAAAUAAAUAUAUUUAAGUGACUUAACCAACGUAACUUGUAUAUUAUAAUUUAUAAAUAUAAUUAAAAACAUUAAAUUUUAAGUUAGUCGAUCCGGUUAUGAAAUUUGAUAAUCAAUGAUUGACCGACAUAGCCAAAUAAAUUGACCCUACAACUGAUUUAACCGCCAAAACCUCCUAAAUCAAAUUGGUCGGUUAACUUAUGUUUUCCCCUAGUUACCAUAACAAAAUAGUUUUAGUAAGCUACAGAGAAAACAUUAAUAAAAUAAGCAUUAUUGAGAUCAAGAUGCUAAUCCUGACUCUUAUGGUCAAUAGAACGGUGUUUUUCCUUUUUGGAUCUGAUAUAUUUGUCUACCUUGCUUUCCCCAGGUGCCCAUAAAUCAGUUUAUGCUCCAGAGCCUUUUGAUGUUGGUCGAAUCCUGCAGGUUGAGAUUAUUUAUGAUGGUCAGCUAAUCAUGUUAACAACUACUGGUGCUAUUGAUCCAGGUUUACUGCGCGUGUGUGUGUGAUUUUAAAUCCUUAUACCUACUUUUAUUUAUUUAUACAUUUUUGAAGUUUUUAUCUCAUUAUUUCUUGAGAUUUGUAACUUGUGUUCUUUGUUUGUGAGAGCAGCUGCUGGUUUGGGGAACUAUGUGGAGGCACUUGUGCGGAAACAUGAUGUUGAAUUCAAUGUAUGUUGUCCUGCUUCAAAACAGUAUCCUUACUUGGCUAUAUGAAUUGUCUUAGCCUUUAUUUGUUUUAGGUACUUCAAAUAAGAUUUGAUUGUUGCAUCUUUCUAUUGAUUUAUAAAAUUAUUUAGCUAGUCCUAUUUUUAGUGAACUUUUUAUUUAUUUUCCAGAGCAGAAUGAGUUUCCACCUUAAACUUGAGUUUUAAGAUACAAUGCAAUUUUUAUCUUUCUAGCAGUGGUUCCUUAGGAAAAUGACCUCUUGUCUGUUUAUUUGUUCUUCGUAUACCACUUGUUCUGUGAAUAAUCUCUCCUGUUGCUGCAGCUCAUUAGAGCAUUGAAGAUCUAAACGUCUGUUAUCCUUGUGAGAAUUUUAAACAAUCCCUCAAGACCUUAAAGCCUUAAACUUGUAGAGAAGUAGUGUUGAAUUUAGAGCUCCUGCCCCAAGCAGAACUUCCCGUCCAACAUCAUUCUCAGAUGCAAGUGUUGGUUGCUUGGUUACCAAUAAACCCAAACUUGCUUGUUGUUGACCCUACUACUCAAUGACCUUUUAGUCUCUACAAUUCUCCUAGCUCCUGUUAUAUCAGCAUCUCUCUGCAUCUGUUUUGGGAAAAUGACAUGCUGAAAAGGUUUUAAAGCUUUUCACAUAAUUAAUUGACUUAUUUUCAUCUCAUCAGUUUUUCACCGGUUUGGGGUGCAGUUGCAUACAUGCAAAUAUUUACUUGUAUUAGCUGAAAAUUAGCCAUUUAUUCCAUUGUUUUUGCUUCUAAUAUUUGUUCAUUUUAUAGGUAGCUGUUCCUGGAAUGAAUGGAUAACGAAUAUGUUUAUUAUAUCUUUUAUAUAGAUAUUAACCACUUAUUCCUUUAUAUUGGCUUCUAAUAUAUCAUUAUAUUUUUAUAUUUUAUAGGUAGUUGUUACCCAAAUGAAUGGUGUAGAUCAACCAUCAGAAUCUAUUCAUGUACUACAUGUGGGAAAGAUGAGGAUGAAGCUAUGUAAAGGAAAGGCGACAAUUGCUAAAGAAUAUUAUUCCGGCUUAAUGCAGGUACUAAGGCUUGUUAAUUUUAUCAGCAGUGAAAAGAUGUUUUGAUGUUUUCUCUAACAGUAAAGGUGAAAACGAAGAGAAGUUUUGUAGUUUGGGGACAGUUCUGCAUAUAACCUUCAAAUUGUUCCUUGCUUUUGAGUAUUAUUUUUUUAGAAUAAAUUGUUGUCAGGCACUGAAAGGAGUACAAAAAAACCUAUGUUGCCGGACUCGGGAGUGAGUGUCAAAUAUGGAUAUGUGUCUGACAUGGUUAUGCUCAAUUCUUCUAAGUUUUCCAUAUAUUUGGAAGAACAUAUCUCAUAAGUAUGCUCGAAUGUUCCGGACAAGAAUGUCGGACAGANNNNNNNNNNNNNNNNNNNNNNNNNNNNNNNNNNNNNNNNNNNNNNNNNNNNNNNNNNNNNNNNNNNNNNNNNNNNNNNNNNNNNNNNUAUACAUACAUAUCCCAUGUGCGAACAAUGUUUUGUUUCAUAACACGUUUUGCUUAUAUAUGGUUUAGCUAUGUGGAGUUAGAGGGGGCGGAAAUGCAGCUGCACAGGCUUUGUUUUGGCAAGCAAAGAAAGAGUUUUCAGUCGUAUUAGCAUUUGAAUCAGAGAGAGACAGGAAUGCAGCCAUCAUGCUUGCCAGGAGAUUUGCUUUUGACUGCAAUGUAAGUUUUAAGUGGUUUUCCAAAUUCUGAUUAAAUGAUUUAUUUUUCAUAUUUAUAUUUUUGAAAAUGCCAGAUCAUGCUUGCCGGCCCUGACGACAGAGCUUCUUUAGGAACCUAAAUAGACUUGCUUACGGUUCUGUUUUGCUAAUUCAUUGUAAUUAUGUUGAGUGAGUUUGUUUUUUCAUUAUGUAUCAUUAAGUUUGUAUGUAAUGGUAGGUCAUGACAUCAUUGUUUUAUUCUGUAUUCGGUUUUCACCAUUCUUUUGUCCUUGUGUCUUUGCCAUUGUCCUGUCCCAACACGGAGGCAUUGCUUGGUGUUUGUUUUUGUUAUUGAUUUUUUCUUUUUUAAAUUAUUAUUGUACUAAUGUAACACAUCCAUACCUACACUUGGAAGAUUUCAUUGUGGAGCCAUAUCUAUUUAUGGAACGGUUUAUGCAAAAGGAGCGGUCAUGGGUUUUUGGUAAUUCUAAUCCAAACCAUAAAGUUUGUUCUAUUAAUAUUUGGGUAAGAUGUACUUCAAGUCCAAGUCCAUAUACUUGUGCAUUUAGAAUUUAGUUCUUUUAUUUUUAUUUCAAGGAACUUAGUCUAUUUACUUUUUAUAUUUUGUAUGUUAAGAUGUAAGCCAAUUAUUAAUGCAGUUAAAAAAUUCUUAUAUUAAAUUUAGGUUUAUUAUGUCUUUUCUUUCUUGUUACAUAUGGUUGUUAAGUGAGUAUUUUAUUAUUUCAAAAUGUUAUACUGAAAGUUUUAACGGUGCUAAUAAUUAAUUGAAUUUUGAAUUUUGAAAUUUAAAAAGUAGAGAUUAAAUUCUUGGAAAUAAAAUUAGAAGUAUUGAAUUCCAAAGGUGAGAAAGUAUAGGAACUAGGCUAACGAAAAUUCAAGCCUCAACUUCAAGUUACCUUAUAACUAUGUAGAGUCAAGCAUAAGGCCGCCAGGACCAAAACGCAGGCUACGGCUCCGUAUUUGUCACAGGUUUAUUUAAUUGUUUAAAAUUUUUUAGUUUUAUAUUCAAAUAAUACCUGGAGUACAAAGUGCUGGAGCAGCAUAAUAAACCAGAAGACACGCAAGGCAACAUGGAUGGUGAAGGGCUGAAAUACAGCUGAACCCACCCAGAGUUGAAACACCAUAUUUUUAUUACCCAGGAGCAGGGGAGGAUUAUUUAAAACAAAAUGUUAAUCAAACUGACGGAAGAAGUCAUAAAUGAGGCUGUUAAUCUCGUCGGGUUUUUCCAUGUGGAUGAAGUGCCCAACUCCUUCCAUUACCACUACUUCCUCCAACAUUGGCACGUCUUUCUUGAAUCCACCAUUGUGAAUGUAUUCUUUCAUGCCAGGCAUAUGGUAUACCAGGUCCAAAUCACUCACUACGAACUUAGCCGCUACUUUUACAUCACAACCAGUCCAUGGUGCCAUCAAUUCCCAAUUUCUGUCAUUAUAUCCAAACACACGCAUAUAUUUCGGCUUAGUUUUCUUUGAAUUAAAUUACUGAACAUAAUAAUUAUUCUCAUAUUAGAGCUUGAAUUAAACACUUGUUCUCACAUAUAUCAUGGACGACAAAAAAAGUUUAAACUUCAAUAUAGAAACAUUGCCAAGUUCAGAAUCUAAGUAGGAUAAAAAAAAAGGUUCAGAUCUCACUUUAAGGCUUAACUUAAACCAACAAAAAUUCAAACUUCAAUAUAAGAAUAAUUGUCAAAUUCAGACUUCAAAAAGUAAUUUAACCCAUUAUCUUUCGGUCCACCAAAAAAUAUAGAGUAUUUUAGAUUGAUAUGAUAGAAAUAUUAGAUCAGUUCAAAAACUUACAUGCAUAAUAAGUAUAAUUAUAUUGAUAAAUUUAACAGUUAAUUCAUUAAAAUACUAAUGAUAUAAAUAUCUACUAAAGUGUGUAAAACUAUUUUAAUUUUUUUACGCUUUAUAAAUCCAUCAGUGUAUAUAUAUAGUUAGAUACCUGUGAAGGUUUCGGUAAUAGUUGAUUCCACCAGUGAAGCCGCUUUUGUUGUCAAAUUUAGAGACAUAGUAAUGAACCUCUUCCUCUGAUAACCAAGAAGGCAAAGCAAUUGGGGUAUCCGCUGAAUGUCCAAAUGGUUUCCCUUUGGGUAACAUUAUUGGACCAGGAACUCUGUAUGUCAGAAAUGCCUUCACUACUGUCUCUGUACCCAUCUCCGCAAACUCAGCUUCUAUUUCUCCAGGUUGCUGUAAUUUUAUUAUAGUAUGAAACUGGUUAAUUUGUUUCUCAAUCUUAAUACAACCUACAAAUUAUACUUGAAAAUACAUUAAACAAGCGAUAUACCUGGAAUCUACACAUGUAAUAAUCAUUCCCAUAGAUAGCUCUCCACCCAUCAAUAGGGUUCAUUUGUGGAUUAUGUGGAAUAAAGGGCACACUGACGUUGAACACAGCUUUCACUUUGUCUGGCCUAAACAAACACAAAUACCAAGCUAUGGCUGCUCCCCAGUCAUGCCCUACUACCAACAGUUUGUGUUCGUUAGGGGCAAUAAUAUUUAAAAGCUGAACCAAAUCCCCCACUAUAUGGAAGCAGGUAUAACUGGUGACCAAAUCUGGCGCAUCCGUGUCACCGUAGCCUCUCAGGUCGGGUGCCACAGCUCGGUAACCUUUGGAAGACAAAGAAGCAAUCUGGUGACGCCAAGAGUACCAUAGCUCGGGGAAGCCAUGGAUGAAAAGAAUGAGUGGGCCUUCCCCUUUCUCUGCUACGUGCAUGUUUAUGCCAUUCACCUUAAUAACUCUAUGCUCAACUCCUUCCAUCUUUCACAUCCACAACCUUAAUUUCAGUUUCUUUUGUGGAGCUUUUUCGCUGCUCACACAAUCAUCAUAAAUGGAUUUAUGAAGAAAUAAAAUAAAAUGGUACACCGGCCAUUUGAAUGAAACAUAAAUGUUUUCGCCUCCCUGCCGGCCCUGAUUUUGUUUGUUUUUGCUGAUUUUUUUCUCUAUUUGUAUCAUUAUAUUUCAUGAUCUUCUAUAUUUCAAGUUUUGGUUUGCAUCUAUCCAACUAGUCUUCGUCAAUUAUGAGCUUUGUUUGUUACUUAAAAUUAGGUAAACAAAAAUUAUUUCUUCUCUUCAAACCUUUUUGGACGUACUACGCUAUGGUGAGAGCAUAAUAUUUCCAAGCAUAUCUUAAAUGAUUGGAUGAGAAUCCUAAGGACGGCCAGAAGCUUAGCUUGCCAUCUACCUAUUGCAAAUGGCAUAUGUUUCUUUGUAAGCAGGCUGAUGAAGAUAGACAUCGACUUUUCUACUGUUGCUUCUCUCUCUUUAGACUUUGCUCUAGACAUCCAAUGCCUGGCCUAACCCGAAAGCCUACCUGAAAAGUGGGAGGAUUCAGGUAAUGCUUUUUUGCCCUAAGCUCGAUCCGGCCCGAAAAUGCAAAAAAAAAAAAAAAUCUACUAUUUUUUUUACUAUUCUUGCUGUUUUUUUUUCUUGUUCUUUUUUGCCAUUUUUUUUCACUAUUUUGUUGUUGUUGGUUAGAUAUUAUAUAACUUUUGUUUUAUUGUUAAAUUUGUUACUAUUUUAGAUGCAUAUGCUUGUUAACUUACACCUAUCUUAGUGUUAUUUAAGUCUAUAUAUUGUUUUUAAAUUUAUUUUAAAUUUAUUGAUGUUUUUAGUAUUUUGACGUAUUAUAUUUUUUUUAAAAUUAUAUAAAAAAUUAAUAUGGGUGGGUCGAGCCUGGGUUUUAACAUUUUUAUCCAUGCUAGGUUUGGGUAAAAUUUAGGCCCUUCUUUGGACCUGAUCAGACCCGGUCCUAGCAAAUAGGUCUAGAAUAUUGAUUGGCUAGAAUUUUGAUUGGACCCGAUCCUGUCCAUCAACACCUCUAUUUUUCUCAUAUCAUAACCAUGUAUAUUUAUAUAAAAUUUUAUAUAUUAAUUAUUCACAUUUGCUGUAACAGCCUGUUUUCAGUGAAAUCAGAACAGUGAUUUUGAGACCACAAAUCCGAAGUCGAAAAAUUUAUUUUAUUAUUAUUUUAUGAUUUACACACUUAAUUUGAUAAUAGGGACUAAAUUGCGUAAAAUGUAAAAGUUGAUUUCUAAUAGUUAAAUGUAUUAAAUAGCUAUAGAAUUUUAAAUUUGAGUCUUUAUAUAGUAAUUAGCCAUUAAAGUUGUUAACGGAUAAGCAUGAAUAGUCAUCAUUGGAAAUUGAAUGAAUUAUUAAGGUUAACUUUGGAAAUUAGUGAUUAAAGUUAUGAUAAAUUAAAUAAAAUAAACUAUUAUCAUCCACUCUCAUAAUCUUCCACCAAAAAAAAAAAAA
rnacentral:lncRNA from 1 species